UUUUUUUUUUUUUUUUUUGGGUAUCUCCUCUACUUUGAGCAAUUACUAUUUGUUCACCCUUUAUGAUCGUACUGUCAAAUCAUGGGUUUGAUUAGUGGUGACAUAAAAGUUAUUAAACUAUAAUAAAUUGGUUUUGAAGAGCUUUUCUAGUGUAUUAAUAGGCUGCAAUUGUUAGAAUUUCAAGACGUAAACUAUUAUAUUAAGUAUUAACAAUAUGCUUUGCAUUUGACAUCAUGCGUUUGCACAGAACGCCCUUCUAGAAGAUUUAUUGGAUCGGAGUUAAGUUUUAUGUUUCUGACGUAUUAGUUUGCUUAAUUAAAUAAAAUUUUCUCUUGUCGAGGUUUUUCAAAAAAAGAAAUUUAUUAACACAAUCAAGACCAUCUAAUGUGGUCUAUAUCAUAUAGUCAAUAUGUGCUAGUUGAGUUUAAAUCCAUCUUAAAACCAAUUGCUUUAUCUGCUCAAAAAAGAAAAAGGUUUUGAAACCAAGUGUUUUAUACACUUUUCCUUUGUGUGUUAGGCUGAAUUUGUACACCUAUUGAUAUUUGCAAUUAUCCAACGUCACUGUCGACGAUUAAAACCCAAAAAUAGUCAAAGCGUGUAUGGAUUUCGAGCAUUCCUCUUUUACUCAGUGGGCCCUUUAAAUGCCUACUGCCCCCACAAAACCUGACGUGUAAGCCACCGAUUCGCAGACAAUUAUCGAACAGAGAGCACACUAUACUGUGUAUACGGGCAACUGGAGAUUACGUCACCUGCGGAUUGUACCCCUUCUGAUCUGACCUGAUCUGAUCUAGUGGCCAGGCUAGCUUGGAUUGUCGACCGUCAGAUAUCUUUUGCUUGGCCACAAUGGUUUGUUACUGAUUACCGAUAACAAAGACUUAACUUCGCUCACCUUUCGUACGGAAAAAUCCUGUCAUCUUCUCACUCUCACUCGCAGUUACGCCUCAUUGUUACCACAACCGCUCCCCACCGUUUAUUUCCGAUCUGACGGCUCCCGACGCAGGAUAGUUGUGUGAGGAGAAAAUCCAUGUGGGUAAGACAAAACGCAGCAUAUACGUGAUACAUAUGUUCCUCGGUGGGAGCGAAAGUGGCGGUAGGCGUUGGAUUUGGAUCUCACGGCUGAGAGAUGAGUUUAGGAGGGGUGGUGAAGGUAUUGGUAUUGGUGCCUUUGGUACUGGUGACAGUCCAAUCAGAAGUAAAGACUGGGAGACUGUGAGGGGUAAGCUUAUAGCUGGGUGACCCACGUGGUCGUAGGGGGAGUAGCCAACAGGAGAAUAACAUCAGACGGCAGGCCCGGUUCAGCUUGUUUUUAGAAAUUCAAGAAAGUUACAUUAUUUCUUAGUGUCCACGUCACACAAUAGGAAUAUAUUCUUUUCCUAUAAGAAAAUGGGAAGCUAUUUGAUCCAAUACGGGUUUCUUUUUUUCUUUCUUUUAUGGCAUGUUUACUUACGUAGAAAGAGAAUGAAACUCCCAUUUUUAACAACUUCUUUGUUUACUUGUAUAUUGGAAAUAAAAAGUAAUACAGAGUCCACAAGUAAUUAUGACUUUGAUUCUUUAUAUAGAGACAUCGGCAUUACGGAUGUGGGAGGUGGUAUUGGACGUGGAUAAAUUGAAAUUAACAUUUUUCUACCUAAAUUGCCCUUGUCUAUUUUGUGAAAACACCAAAAAAAACAAAUUGAUGUCAUUUUUUUUUAAUAUAAAUAUAUUUAGCUUAAUUCUAUAUAUGUAGGAUAUACUAGGAAGUAAUAAUUAAACUUAUAAAACAUGGUUAUUUUUACAUAUAUUAAAUUAGAUUUAUUAUUACUAUAUAAAAAGUUGGUUUUUUUUGGGGUAAAAAAAGGAUAUAUUAUUAGAUUAGACAACUUCAACAAACAAAAUAAAUAUUAGAGAACUUUUGUCAUUUGUUUUAAGUUAUUUAUUUAUUUUAUUGAAUCAUUUGAAAAUUUGUUUAAGUAGUUGAAUAAUUUGAUUUGUUUUGCAAGGGCAUUAUAGAAUCAAACUGAUUUUGAUUCCGAUUCUUAACAAUAGCAAAAGACUUUAAUGAGAAUUCAUUUUGUUUGCAUUCUUAUUCCUGACUGUUAGUAAACAACUUAAUUGGAAUGCUUGACUCCGAUUCCUGGUUAAACUGAUUUCUGAAUACUCUGAUUCCUUAUUAGUAAGCAUUACUUGAUAAGUUUGUUUAUGGUCUAGUUUGUGGUGAUUAAUUGAGUUUAACAUUCCAAUUUUAGUUAAUUGCAUGUUAUUUAGUUUAUCGGUUUGUUUACAAAACAUGCAUUUUGACAAGGAUAUUAUUUGCCUCCUUUCAAAGAAGGUCGGGGUGGAUAUGAUCCGGAUUGGAUCGUUUUUGCCUCAAAAUUGCAGCCAAACCAAUUACAAUAUAACAGUUUAAUUUGGUUCAAUUUUGAAAAAAUUUCGAAGCAAACAGAACCAAACCAAACCAAUUUAACCAGGUUUGGUCUAGCAGUUUAGGCCUAAGCCCAAUUAUUUUUAUUUAUGCAUUUUUUCAACAUUGUUAGCCAAAUUACAACUAAAUAAACACACAACUUGCUAACUAUUUUUUUUUUUUUCAUUUUCUAGCGUAUCAAACCAUCCUAAAACUCAACAUGUCAUAAAACUUCAAAGUUUAAUAAUAGCUACAAUUCAAAUAAUAAUAACUUCAAAGUUCAUCUCUCCUCACUUUUUUCUUUAUGGUUAGUGAAUAAGUUCAUUGGAGCAUUUUGAAUAAGAAGCUCUUUGUGAUAAUUUCUUUUGAACAUGCUCAUAUUGAAAUUCCCCAUCACACCUUUUAGGCGUUCUCAAACAAAUCAUUCUUCCAAAACCCGCUCUCUAACACUGCUAAUGUUCUAUGAAUUUGGGUCUAUAUCGUCUUCGACGGAGGUUGUUGCAAAUUACCUAAUUUUUCUUUGUCAAGGUAGUUGUUUUUGUUUAUUUAUUCCCUCUUAAGCGCAGGUAGAUCGCUAGAAAUCACAUUUUCCCAAAAUUUGUUAUGGAUGUAGUGGUGGGUGUGGCCACGACGGUACUUCUUCAGGUGGUGGUGAUAGGGUUUGUUUAGGCUCAUGGAAUGUUUCAGGGUUUCAGUUAUGUUGGGUAUGUGAACUUUAUUUGGGCUUAUGAUUAAUUAUUGUGAUAUGAGUUAGUAGUUUUAGUGCGGCCUUUGUCUGGAAGUCUAUAUAGAAGAAAAUGUAUACCCUCUAUGUAUAUAUAUACAAGCAAUUUCAUAAUCAUUUACGAUCGAAUAAAUGGGAGGAUAUGAAAAUGACCUUUUUUCUUCUAUUGCUUGCUAGGACCUUUUUUCUUCUAUUGUUUGCAAGGACCUUUUUGGAGUUAUGUUCUUUUUCUCUCUAUAUCAUGUAUUUGCCCUUUAAAUGAUGAAAUUGCUACCACUAUCCAAAAAAUAAUGAAAGAAUAUGAAAAUGAGAUAUUUUAGUUCGCAUUCCAACGUAAAACUUCUAGGGAGACUUUGGAAAAUGUCAAAUGAUAGAGAAAUUUUUUAAAAGAAGACAAAAUGGACAAAAUUGCCCUUAUUUAUUUUUGGAUUUCCUAAGGAAUCCCUUACAUUUGCAUAUCUUUGGUUUGAAAGUUUAGAGGUUUUUCUGUUUUUUUUUUUUUGAAAAAUUUUUGGCUUUUUCCAAAAGUGAAAGUUUUUUUUUUAACUAAAACCUAAAUUUACUAAACUUGUUCUAACAGCCCGUCUCCAAACUAUUAAGUGCAAACAAAUGUUACUAUACAUGGGAAGAAAGAAAGUCCUAGUUCAAAACAAGGCAGCAUUCACCUUGAACUGUAACAUACACGAAGUCUUGUCAUAAAGUGUUUGCAUUAUGUUUACAAACUUAAUGUGUUGGGUUUGUGUGACUCAAUAUACAAAUCAUGGAUGCGGUAUGAGAGUUCCUUUUUUUUAAAGAAAGAUAAUUGCUAUGUAUUUAUAAGUAAUUAUCUUGGUUAUAUAUAUAUAUAUAGGCUUAUUAUCACAAAACGUCCCUAAGGCUUACGAAACUAUCAGAUUGCAUCCUUAAUAUUUUUUUGUGUCACUUAUGGUCCUCAAGGUUAGUAUGUGCAAUCACAAAUGGUCCCUACUGUUAGGUUCUGUCAAAAACUCUGUUAGUUUGCUGACAUGACAUACAUAUAUAUCACAAAACAUCCCUGAGGUUUACAAACUUAUCACAAAUGGUCCCUAUGAAUUUUUUUUUAUUUUUUAAUUUAAAAUUCAUAAAAAUUUGAUUUUCUUUUUAAAAUUAUUUAUAAAUGAAAAAAAUCAUUUAUAGAAGGAUUUUAAUCUUGAGGACCAUUUAUGAACCCUAAACCUUUAGUUUUUUUCAUUUUAAAAUUUUAUGAAUUUUAAAUUAUUUUUUAAAAACUUCAUUAGUGUGUUGAUGUGGCAUAUAUAUGGAGCCAACAUCUACAAUAAUAUAGUGUCACAUGUAUUUAAAAUUUAAUAUAUAUUUUAAAAUGAUUAUAAUUCAUAAAAUUUUAAAAAGAAAACAAAAAAAUUUAUGAAUUUUAAAUUUAAAAAAAUUAAAAAAUUUCAUAAGGACCAUUUGUGAUAGGUGUGUGAACCUCAAGGAUGUUUUGUGAUAUACAUAUAUAUGCCAUGUCAGCAAACUAACAGAGUUUUUGACGGAACCUAACGGCAGGGACCAUUUGUGAUCAUGCAUACUAACCUUGAGGACCACGAAUGACCAUAAAAAAAAAAAUUAAGGAUGCAAUCUGAUAGUUUCGUAAACCUUAGGGACGUUUUGUGAUAAUAAGCCUAUAUAUAUAUAUAUAUAUAUAUAUAUGGAUAUGCAUUAGUAAAAUAGUCAUUGUUAGUGUAGUUAUGUGUCAAAGAAAAACAAAUGUUAAGUAAGCUUGGCUAUGUAGUAGCUUUGUCAAUUCACCAAGAUGAACUGAAUAGGAUUGGAAGAAUUGGAAUCUUCCUAAUCUACAAAGGUAGACUACAUAAAUAUUACUUGAAUGGUAAGCGUACAAAACCGCCACAACACCAUCCAAUAGGAAAGGACUUACUGCCGACCUUUUCCUUAUAUAUAUAGGACAUUAUGUGCCUAGCAAAUGAACCCCAAAAAAAAAAAUGCAAGAGAGAAUUAGUGGUAGAAAGAAGUAAGAAAAAGAGUGAGAAACUGAGUUUGUGAAUGCGGUGAAAAAUUGGGAAACACCUUACAUAUCUAGCAAAAGCUUUGGUAUCAAGGUAGGGGUUUCUUAGGGGCCUUUACGGGGAUUGAUCUAAUUAAAUUUCGCGAGCUUUAUAUUAUGUGUGAUAUUAUAUGGAUGUUCUUGAUAUUACAGUUUGGUUGACGCUCCUUGUAUUGGGUGUUUACAUAUUCUUAACUAUUUGAACAAUGUUGGCAUAAUUGCAUAUACAUUAGUGAUGUUUUAAAUGGUUACAUUGUUGUGAGAUACAUGGGAUAUGUGAAAUGCAUAAUUAUAUCAUGAAAAUUGGUUGAAGUUGUUGGAUUGAGAAAAUAAUGAUGAAAAAUAGGGUAAUGAAAAUAGUCUUUUGUGUAGUUGAGUUUAACUCUUGGCAUGUACCAGGUCUCAGGGAUCCCACAUUGCACAUGAUUUUUAUUGGGUGAUUCGAGACUGGCGACAGGGAGUUAGAUAAGAUGACUAACAAAAGAAGAAUUAUGGGAUGAUUGAAAUGGGUGUUAGUUCAUAUAAAUGGGCAUGCGGGACCAAGUGGUAUAAGCAUGGUAUGGGACGUGCAGGUUUGCUUGUCAAGUUAUAUGAAUUAAUGGGAUUAUAUGAAGAACAGUCAUGCAUUAUUAAUAAUAAUGUGAUAUAGCUGUGUGAUUGUAUGUCACUGAAUUUAAUUAUAUCAAUUUUAUGUAAAAAUAUUUAUGUCCCUACUGAGCUGUGGUUUCGCUCACCUCCUAAUAGAUUUUACAGGUACCGAACCUAAAAUCUAAAGCUUGUGAUGAUUUUGGCAUAUCUAUAGAGUGUAUUGUGUACAUAGCUUGUGGAUGAAUAAUAAACUACUCUUUUAGUGAACUCCCGAGUAGUUCUAACUUGUAAAAUAAUGUAAAAUUUUUAAGUUUUCAGAUGUUGUCAUUUUCCACUGAAUAUUCUAUGUGAAAUAUUUAUUUUAUGUUUUUUUUUUCUUCACAUUUUAGUUAUAGUUUUUAUUAAAUUCUAUAAUUAAAGUGUGAAUCACGUCUUAAUCUAAGGUUACGUAAAUCCGUGGGUUGGGGCGUGACAUGUGGGAGCGACCAUAAUCUUACAUCGUGUCAUCACAAUGAUCUUCAAUUUAAAAGUAUGUAGUCCACUACUAAUUGCACCGAGGUCUUUCAGAUAAAAACCCUACAUCUGGAUAGGUCCAUUGACAUCAUAUCACAUACGCUUGUGGACUUAAGUAGUUAAGUUGAGCAAAAUAUCGAUGUUGGUUUGGACUUAGUAAUGGCCCCUCGGGUUUGUUGCAUGACAAACUCUUGGUGAAAUGAUUUUUAUUUUAUUUUAGGAGAUGUUCCAAAUUCGAAUCUCCUUCAACUCUCCCUGCCCUGAUUAAGAGAAAUUAGAAAAAGAAAAAGAAAAUCUUUCUCUAUUUUUUUUUUCAAAGAUUUCUCAUUAUUAGCAUAGAAGAUGAGUUGUUGAAGCUAGUAAGUCACUCUGAGUAUAGCAAAAUGUAAAGUUUACAAGAAUUUGAUGUUGAUUAUUCAUAAUCUCUUUCGGAUAUUUGUUUUGACAACAUAACAUUUUGUGUAUGAGAUUUAGUUUUCAUAAACCAUAAAAUUGGCACUUCAAAAGGAGCAAAAUAGUCCCAAACCAAUCGGAGAAAAAAAUAAAAUAAAAAAUAAUUCUCAGCUAGGUUUAUCUGUUACCUUUUUCAAGAAAAUGAGAGAAGCUUAAAAAACAAUAAAUAAAUAAUAAAUCUUGCGGCAAGACAACUUUGUGAUAAUCCACAUGAAAUUUUGGCCUAAGAAAAGAAUAAAAAUUGUUUUUUUCCUUUUAAAUUAUUAAAAUACAUAGCAAAAGGAACAAUAUCUGACGGACGAUAGCUAGUUGAUUAAUGACUUCCCUCUAUCACGUCAAAUACAGAAACCCUACCAUCUUGCAUUGCUGUACAUCGCAAAAGGAGACUGUUCUAUAAAUUGAACCAGAAAAAAAAAACAAAAACAAAACAAAACAAAGAAAAACAUACACUGAUCAUGAAAUUGUACAUAUGUAAACAAAUUACUAACCAUAAAGCUACGAAUAAAAAUAAAAGUGACUUAGAUAUUCUACUCUUUACAUCUCUUCACUACUAAAAAAAAAAAAAAACAACAAUCACCAUUAUUUGAUGAAAUUUAAUGACUAACCUAAAGUUAUGAAUAAAUAAUUAAAUACAAUAAAAUAAAAUAAUAUGACAUAUAAAAUGAAAAAAAUCAUUUUAAUCAACAGAGUAGUGGGACCACCCACCCCUUCUCCCCUCUCUCUACGACUCUGCCUUCUGCGACUCUCUGCGACUCUGUCUUCUGCGACUCUGUCUUCUGCGACUCUCUGCGACUCUGCCCUCAUUCUCUAUAUCUCUCUGCCUCUCUCUCUCUCUCUCUACGACCAAAUCCAUCAGCCCCCACCUAGAACAUUACAAAAACAACAAAAUAAAAUAAAAUAGACACACAAACCUAGAUCCAAAUAGAUCUAAUCUAUCUGAGGAGGGGAAGGGAAGGGAAGGAGAAGAAGGGAUAAGAGGAAGGGAAAAGAUGAGAGAAAAAUAAGGGGAGAUUUUACCCAAAAAAAAGAAGAAGGGGAGAUGAGGAGAGGAAAGGGAAGAUGGGAAGAGGAGAGGAGGGACAGUGGCCACCUUUCCCUCUUAGCUUUCUUGCGGUUGAUUGUCGACAAAAAGAAAGAAGACCAGAAUGCAACUAGGGUUUUUUUGUAUCAAUAUUUUUUUUCUUAUAUUAUAGCUUUGCAUAUCAGCAAAUUUAUAAGUUAAUUGGGUGGCUUUUCAAAUAUUUUGAAAUGUUUUUUUUGGUCCUUGAGCUAAUUAUUUCAACUUUUUUAUUGUUUAUUUAUUUAAGGUUAUUUAUGGUGGAUUGCUAGCUGUCUGGUGGUAUUCUAUUGUUCUUGGACAUUCACCUUUUUAUUUGUCCGAGUACUAGCAAAGUUGUUUGGAGCUGGUUUUUUGUUUUUGUUGUUCACUUUAUAUUAGCUUUAAGGUAUUUUUCAUGCUUACAAUGUUGAUGUGGGGGCAAGAAUUCUCCAACUAAUAAUAUAACAACAUGUGGAAAAAAACAAUAAAUAACUGGCAGAGGAAGUCAUCUCCACCAAACCUAUUGAGGCUACAGGCUUUUGCCUAAUAAUGUUGAAUCCCAAACCCACGUUAAGGUCAAUCCUUGUAUUAAUGGCAUCCAAACUAAUCAUGCCCAGGCCACCAUGACUGUUUAUUAUGUGAGUAAUUGACAUGUUGGACGAGUCAACAUGUCUCAGCAACUUAAUAGGUACACGCCGCAUAGUUCUCGAUGGAAGAAACUAGCUACCUCCCUUCAAAAAUUAAGAACUUUAGGCCCGUUGGGUAACGUUUUUAAAGAAUAUUUUAUUAGAAUAUUUUUAGAGAAUGAAAACAAAAAAAUUAAUUUGCAUUUUCUGAAAAUGAAAAUAUUUAUGGUAGAUUAAUUAAAAAACAUAUUUAGAAAACAAAAACAAUGAAAACGUAUACGGUAAUACAAUUUGAAAUAAUAAUAUGUGAGUUAUUUUUAUGAAAACAUUUCCCAUGAGAAUGAAAAACAACUUUUUUCUGUUUUCUACAAGUAUACAUGAACUUGUUUUCAUUUUAUGAAAACAUUCUCAAUGUUUUCUGUUUUUAAGCCACCGAAUGUAUUUUUGCCUCAUUUUUGUUCUCUAAAAAUGAAAAUAACCCCUUAAAACGUUACCGAACCAGCCUUACUCUUUUUAUUUUGGCUCCAAAUCUAACUGAGUCAAUGAAGGCUGUUUGUGUCACAUCACUCCCUUGGUACUUACGGACUCAAUUGUCUCAUUUCUUGAUUUUCAAUUUACGCAAAGUCUUUUCAAGAUAUCGUGGAAUUUAUGUCCCACAGUUUCAAUUUUAACAUAUUCAUUUGGUGUUCCAAGAUUUAACUCGUUGAUUUCAUUUCCUGAUUGUUGUUAUUAUGAUCUUUGUAUGAAUGGGACCUGGAUCAAUGUAUGUAUAGGAGGAACAUGGGGAAAGGGUAAUGGGUAACCAAUUAUCCAGGCAAACAUUACCUAUAUGCCAUUCUGAUCCCCCCAUAAAAAAUUUUCUACCAUCCAGUAAACCCGCGAAGGAUGAGAGCCACAUGUAGCAAGAAAAUCACCAUUAGCAAAGUAACGGGCUUUGAGAACCCUAACCCAGAAUGCAUUGAGGUUACUCCAAUUGCAUCAUAUCUUUGUUUGAAAACCCCUUAAUUUGUAGUAAGCUCUUUUCUUACAUGGAAAAUUGAUGACACAUCUUCACUUAACAGUCUUCACGGCCAGAUUAAUGACCAAUCGCAAAGGACCCACUAGUGUAGUGGUUUGGAGUAUUUACUCCCUCAGGCAAGGUUCUGGGUUCGAGUCCUGGCAUCUGUGUUGUAUGUGUGAGUUUAAUAUGCUAUCGCCCCUUUCAAUAGGAAAGGACCUCAAAAAAAAAAAAAAAAAAGACCAAUCGACAUUGAUGAAAAUUUGAAAGUUAAAAAAAAAAUUGCAAUAAAAUGACAAAUUUUUUUUUCUUUUCUUUUCAUGUUGCUAUUAAGAAAACAUAGGUAACGAAAUGCCUCAUCACUCUACUCAAAGUUAUAUACUUUUAAAAAAGGUCAAAAGUCACUUUUGGUAGUUUGGCACUUCCACCACUUUUGAUCAUGUAGUUCAAUUCUAUCAAUUUUGUCAUUGUAGUUUCGUAUUUGUAGCAAUUCAAGGACAUGUUAGUAUUUUUAUCAAUUUCUUUCAUGAUGCAGUGGGCAAUUUCAUCAAUCCAAAACCCUUGAGCAUAAAAGUUUGUCUGAAAUUCUCCCUAUUUCAUAUUAGGACUCGAAAUUCAACCAUUAAUCUCAAUGUUUGAAGAACCCUAAACCCAAAUAACCAAUUUCAAGCCCUAAUAUGAAAUUAGGGGAGUCUCAAAUGAGCUUUUAUGCUCAAGGAUUUUCGGUUGACGAAAUUGCCCCUUGCACCGUUAAAGAAAUUGACAGGAAUACUAACUUGUCCUUGAAUUGCUACAAAUACGAAACUACAGGGUCAAAAUUGAUAGAAUUGAAACUGCAUCGUUAAAAGUGGUUGAAGUACCAAACUAUAGGGACUAAAAAUGAAUUUUAGCCUUUAAAAAAUGAACAAACAUUAAUCCUUACCCCCAUUAACUAUACAAAAAUUACAGUAUUUUAAUGUGUUAUUUAUCUAUAUAUAUAAAGCUAAAGGCAGAGAAUGGUAAAAUAUUCAAAAUAUCAGAAAAUGCCAUUGGUUAAUGCAAACAUUAAGAAUUGAAAUUAUUAAUUAAAUGAGGAUAAUAUGGUAAAUUCAGACUUUUCAUAUUAAAAAAAUUAAAAUUAAAAGAAAAAUCAGAUAAUGGAUCAUAUUUUUAUGGAACACAACUACCCAUUAUCUUUUUUAAUUCUAAAAUAAAAUUACAAAAAAAAAAAAAAAAAGCCUCUUGCAGGUGCAUAAGUGCGUGCAGAGAGGCUAGUAUAUGUAAAGCAAAAGGCAAAGAAUGGUAAAACAUUCAAAAUACCAAAAAUUGCCCUUAGUUAUUGAAUUUAUUGAGCAUUGGAACUUUUCAUUAAAUAAGGUUAAUAUAAUAAGUUAACAUUUUUUAUAUUAAAAAAUUUAAAAUAAAAACCAAAAUAAGAAUAUGAGUCCUAUUUUUAUAGAACACAACUUCAAUUUUAUUUUUUAUUGGAUUCUCUUUCUUAAUUAUUAAAUAAAUAAAAAAUAAAAAACCAUUUCACGGCUAGUAACUAUGAAAAGAAAAAUAAUUUGAAAAUAUGCAUCUUUCUUUACAGAAUUGGCCAAAACAUCAAUUAAAUUAUAAUUAGUUUGUUAUAUAUCAUGCACAAAUAAAGUGACAAGGAUUUAUUAAUGUUGUAGCUUUCAACAGUAAAAUAUUUCAAAAUCUAUUUAUAGACACAUGCCUACCUUGUUAUCACAUAUAUACUACUACUACGACACAAUGUCCUAAAUAGAAGAAAAAUAACCAUGAUUGUCAUAUAAGUGGUAAUCCCAUGACGUUUCAAAAUAAGGCUUAUGAGCUGCUCACCAAAUAAAGUUAUAGAGUUGCUGAUGGACCAUUGUUUGGCAGGGGGUAUAUACAAGUAAAUCACAUUUCGAUAAUUUGACCAUCUAGUCUUGUGUUAAAUUGAUGACGUGACAAGUGAGAGAUACACUUUUGUGCUAAUGUGUCAAUAAAAAUAAUAAAACAUUAAUAUUCCUUUUUUAAAAACUAAUAUUUUUAAAAUAUAUUUCUUGUCUUAAGCAUUGUGGUGGUUUUUUAUUUUAUUUUUAUCGGUGAGCUUCCUUGUACUAGUGUAUAUUAGAAAAAAUUGCGAGGGAGAUUACCGAAUUGGUCCGAAAUACCUAAGUCACACAGAAAUAUAUAAGUAGGUGGUAGCCCUCAUUAAAAGUUUUAGGUACGAUGGGACCUCGAUCAGGAUCCCCAAGCCAUGGAACUUUAUACCUAAGCAGCAAGGAGAAGAUGAAAAAUUCAAAAAUGCAGGAUGAAUGACCAUUCAUGUGCUUGAUAAUUUGAAAGCAUCAAUCUAGAGAGAGAGAGAGAGAGAGAGGGGGCCCCUGAAUUAGAAAAUCAAUGUUCCUAUUCUUAUAUGGUUUCUCGACAGGCGGAGAAGAGAAGACUAAUUGAUACGAAAGGCAAUGCAAAAAGCCAAGAGAGGAUCACAUCAUAAGUAUCUUUUAUGGAAAAAGGGUUUCUGUGUGAGGACAAGGGACCAUAGGGCAUGUGAAAUUGUAGCAACAUAUAAUCAUGGAAACAAACAAAUGAAAAUAAUUAAAAGGAAACAAAACUCUGUUAGGAAAGCUCUGGCUUUGGGUAUGCAUGAUGAAAAGGGAUGUGCUAACUAAGGGCAAUUGGAUGUACACCUGAAUUGGAAAAAAAAGAAAAAGGAUGUACACCUGAAAAGUAUGAACAGCUUUGGUAAAUUGAGUAAAUGCAUGAUGAAAAUGUAUGUGCAUAUUGGCCUUUUCUGCCAACUUUAAUUCUUAAAUUUACCGUGUUGACAGAGUAAUCGAGUGCUUGGUUGUGGGCCAUUUCCUAAAAGAGAUGGGUGUGCUGGAAUGCUGGUGAAACUAGUAGCUUAUCGGUACCUGAUGGGAAAAAAGGAAAGAACAGAAAGCAUCUGGCCCAGUGCCAGUCCGUUGAAUUGUAUUUGUUAAUUAAGGUCCAAUAUCCUAAAGAGAAAGGGAUUCCUAAAAAGAUAAGGAAAUUUGUUUGGGCUUUCCUUUUCUUAAUUCAGCUCCCUCCAUAUGACUUCAAGCUCUCAUAACUAGUUUCACUCAUAGCUCCCAUCGGUGUGGUGUGAAGUUGCUUGUUCCAAGCUUUCUUCUCCUCCUCCACGCCAAGAUGAAGCUACUGACGAAGCUCUUCGGCAGCGGUUUCUCCUCUGAAUGCAAAGAGACGGUGGAGACUGUGGCGGUGAAAGCGCGAUUCUUGCAAAAGAAGAAACAAUUCGCGCCGGGGAAGACCCCAUUGUCGGCCCUGCUCAUGUCCUGAUCAAACGGGUGAUAAGAGAGCAGAACGUUUCGGUUGCGUACGAAUUCAUUGAGGCCUUCUGCGAUUUGGUUGUGAACAGAAUCUCGACCAUCAAAGAGGUGAGGGAAUGUCCAGAGAAUUUAAAAGAAGGGAUUAUAAGAAAUAAGUGCUCUCAUGAGAUUCCGGAGUUGGUGACACUACGGAAUAUUUUUAGGAAGAAAUAAGGAAAGAAUUUUAUCUCUGCAGCUACGAACAUACGACUCAAUUGUGGUGUGGAUCUCAUGAUGAUUAAGAAGCUUACAGAUACAAAUCCUCAAGGUGACGAAAAACUGAAAAUUGUGCAAGAAAUAGCCGAUCAAUACAGUAUUAAUGGAUGGGUAGAUAUUGCAGGAAACAACUGCAAUGCUUUGGUCAAAGUAUAGAAGACCACAAAUGUAUAGAUUGAUCACUAUUACUUUUUUUUUUUUCCCUUUCUUUUAACUCUAUAAAUUUCCUUGUCACGCUCUUUCUUUUUUCUAAUUGAGUACAAAAAUUAUCUUUCCUUUUUAUUUUUGGUUAUUUGAAGAUAGUUUCUUGUUUUAGAGGAGCACUAACUUUUCUUUCAUUGAUGAGGAAUUUGAGAGUAAUUCCAGGCAUCCGGAACAUAAAAAAAUUACUCUAUAUAUAAGAAGCUACAUUGAGUGGGUUUGUUUUUCGCAUAAUAAGCCACCCAAUUUUAAAGGUAGGGGUUUUGGCACUCCUAUUUUAGCAUCUGAAACUUCAAAUUAAGUAUUUUAUUAUUUCUCUACACUCAUGAGAAGAGAGCCAGAAGCAAAACUGAGAGUGAAAUUUACUACCCAACUAAAAUGAUGACAACUAAAAAUUUGCAAAUACAAAAUGGGAAAUUAGAAAAACAAGCAACCAAUUCAAAUAAGUAAUAAAAAAUAAAAACGAAAACACACACCCACAUCAUCAGUUCCUUCAUCGUACUAAAAAAAAACUGUAGGAGCAAGCAGGAACGCACGUGCCAAGAGAUUUGUAAAUCACUUACCUUUUUUCUUGAGAUUUUAACUACAAAGUUUAUAUCUUGUAGAGUGAAAACUUUAGUUAUGGCCUAUGGCAUCCGCAAAAUCAUUGAACUUUCAUCAUAAAAGAGAUACUUUCCAUGCGUUAACUGAUGGGUAUAUUUUAUAUUAUAUAUUUAACCAUAUUCUUAGUAUAUUUUAGUUAAUAUUUUGGAAGAAUUUGGAUACUUUGAAUUAUAUUUCCAAUAUAGGACUUUAGAAUUUCUCUGGAGCAAAACAUAAUCAAAUUGACGAAUUUUAGAGUAAUUCCAAUUGAAGGAUGUACGUGAGUCACUUAGCUUGAUUGUAUCAAAAUUUCAGAUUUUUCUACUGAGCGGUUAUUUUGUGGCAAUGAAAUAAAGGUGUAGUGUGCAGUACUGGAAUAGUGACGUUUUGGGCAUUUAUUGCGUUUUUGGAGCCCAAGAUUACCUUGGAUGGGUUCGUGACCUUCUGGAGAAGUGUUCAGAAUAUUUUUAUCUUUCAAACAAACUAUCUUGGGCCAGAUUUGGAGGAGAUUUGCGGCCAAAACAUAGCUGGGCAGAUUGUGGCAGAUUCUCCUAAUCCAAUUUGGACUUGUAUUAUUUUAUUUUAAUUAGUUUCCUUGUGUGGAUAGAAAAGCUGUACAUUGGCAGCUAGGUUUUAAGGGGUAUUUAAGCUCUUUCUCACAGCAAUUUUGGGGACUUUUUUUUGUAUGCAAUUUUGGGGAAGACAGAGACUUUGGCUAGGGUUUUUGAAGAGCUUCUACUUCAAGGUGUUUUUAUUCCUAUUCAUUCGAAUGACAUUUUCUUUGAUUUUAAUUAUGAGUAUGCGUAACUAAUUCCUUUUGCUAGGGCAAGGCCAUAAGUCUUAGCAUGAAUAUGUAAUUUUAUUAAUUUGCUUAUGAAUGGAUGCAUGUUUGCUUUCAAUUAUUAAUCACCGCGUUUAAAACUAUCUAUUUAUUUUAAUGACUGAUUACCAUUAGGAUAUGUAGACAAGUAAUUUGAUGCAAUUUCUGCUGGAACAUCACCCUGAAAUUGAGGAUGGCUUCUUAUGAUUAGUAGUUGUAAGUUCACUUAAGGCGAACAUCACGCUCUUAAGGGUUGCAUUGGUUUUUCAAAGGGUUUUCACAAAGCUUAAUGAGUCUUGCAUUUUUAUAUUUGAUCUGAACAUCACAAACGGAUUGCAUGUUAGAUAUACGUUUUCGCUUGAAAAUCACAAGGAAAAUAUGCAUUAGGAAAACCUAACCUUCAAAGCAUAUAUGUGGAAAUUCAUAAGUAAUUGAUAGAAUUGCAUAGGAUUGUGACGGUAAUGGCUAAGCUCUAGUUUUCUCUAAAUUGUUAGUCCUUAAAAAGAAAACGUUUUUCUUCUUUGCUGUUAUUAUUUCCCAACUUUCAGAUUUCUUUUACUGUUAAUUUAAUCUUUUCAAAUUCAUAAACUUCAAAUCUUUGAUAAAAUCUAUUUUAGUUAUUAAUUAAGAGUUUGUUUAAUUACAAAUUAGUCAAACAAUCUUUGGGGACAACGACCUUACAUGAGCAUCUACGGCAGUAAGAUGUCAAAAUACUUUCUACGGUAGUGCAAUUUUGCUUAGUAGCCUUUAAGAACAUAAUGGAAUCAUCUGCAAAGAAUAGAUGGGAUAAGGUAGGACCGUCUCCACUGAAUUUGAUUCCUUGCACAAUACCCCUCUCCACAUCUUUGUUAAUCAUAGAUGAUAGAACAUCACUGACUAGAAUGAAAAUAUACGGAGAAAUAGGUAUCCUUGUUUAAGACCCCUGGAAGGCUUGAAAGAACUCCCAGAUUUACCAUUUAAGAGCAUUAUGAACCGGAUUGAGAUGAUCCACCCCAUAACCUGGCGCACCCAAGUUCGAUCAAACCCCAAUUUUAGCGACACUUCUUUCACAAAAUCCCACUCAAUUCUGUCAUAGGCCUUAUUCAUAUCCAACUUGAGCCCCAUCUCAUAAACCAAUUUUAGCGACUUAGAUACGGGAAUUAUCAUAUAAAGAAUCAAAAGAAUCUGUUGAAUGCAUUGAAAUUUAACUUGGAUUGCUUGUGGUUGAUUCCGAAACCCUAGACCUUCAUCAUUUUAUUUUUUCAAUCUUUAAAAGUCAACGUUAUAAUUCUUAAUUGCCAUGAUUAAUUUCUUGUUUCAUAAACUUUCACAACAACAAUCUCUACAAAUUUACUUGCGUAUCAGUUAGAUUGAAUUUAGGUAUUCGAAUAUUAGAUUAAUUUGGAAUCCUCGUGGGAAUGAUACGUGGACUUGUCAAAUGCUAUACUACAUCAUUCUUGUGCACUUGCAAGGACAGACCACUCUGGCCCUUUCUUGUUUGACGAGCUGGCUCAGAUUCCAUAGACCCAAUUUGUUUAGGAAAUUAAAAUCUCACACUGGAGUGAGGGUGCUCCUAUUUUAGAGAGAGAAGUUUUUACCAUCAAGUAUCCCUAAUUUUCCAAAUAACUGCAUCCUCAAUAAGUAAUCCAAAUCAAUUAUGUAAUCAGACCCCCACAUCUAGAAAGAAAUAGAAAAGAAAGAAGAAUUGAGAAAUUCUUUUGAUUCCUUAUAGAUUGGAGAAAAGGGAUAGAAUAGAAUGAGAAAUGGGAAAUUCUUUGUUCCCUGAGAUAAGAAGAUUGAGAAGAGAAUUGGGACAUAACUAUUUAAGUAUUGUUUGAAUGAAGAUGUUCUUGUUCUCCAAAGAAAUGGGAUUUAAGAGUCAAGAAUAGGGGCACUGAGAUUUUGGAUGCACAAGAAAAUUGAUAGAGCAAAUAACAAAUCAACCAUCAAUAUUUGACCCAUGGUGAUGUAUUCAAGAACAGGAAGGUGAUUUUAUAGCAAGGAAUUCAAUAUUUGAUGGAGUGGCUACAAUAACUAUCAAUCAAAGGUGAAUAUCAAGCUUGAAUAUUUGAACAUAGGAAGAGAUAGAGAAUGAACAACAUACAUACCAAAAGAACAUCCAUAAGACCCAAAUAGCAGAAACGCAACUAACAAUCUGAAAUCCACCACAUAUCAUAGUUGAGGAAAUAUAAAGUCCAUAGGCAGACAUGUAAUUGAAGUCAUCGAGUUGAAGCAAUAUGAAUAGCCACAAUUUGAGUAGUAAUCGUACAGAAAAUAACAACAAAUCCCCAUCGAAAAACCCUAAUGUGAGCAACAAUCCACCAAGAACAUCAUAUGCCAUAAGAACAACAACAUAUCCCAACAUAUAUGGAUUUGGAAAUCCCCAAUUCGAAGGCUUGAAAUCAGCAAUCUCAUAGAAAAAAACCCAAAAGUGAGUAGCAAUCGAUCAAGAACAUUGAAAAUUCCCAAAAAUCGGCAAUAAAACCCAGUUGAGAAACACUUGAAUCAAUUCAAAGAUGAGGCUGAAAAUCCCCAAUAGUAAGCUGAAUAGAAACCUUAAAGGCAGUUUAACGAAAUUGAGAAUCUAAGAAUGAAGUGGAAGAAUCAGAUAUCAACGUUGAUUUCCAUGGAGUUCCAGAAAAGAAUGUCAAGGCAUAGAAAGCAGAAGUAGAAGAACUUAGGAUCGAUCCAUGGCUUUUGCCUAACACAUGGACAACACAUAUUGGGUGGCGUGGAGCACGUGUGGCCGUUGGGCUUUCACACUUGGGCUAACCCGCUUUGAUACCAUGUUAACGAAAGAGAAAUACAGAGAGAAUUAAGAAGAAGAUGAACUUUUUUGUAUUAUUUCUCAGAUUAUCAUACUAUACUUAGGGAUAGACCCAUGAUUUCAAAAUGGGGUGGGCUAAAUUUGCCUUAUGUACAAACCUAUUAAAAAGAUAGAUUACUCGAGGGUACGAGGGAAUUUUAUUGAUAACAAAAACAACACAGAGAAACAUAAUGAGCCCAUCAAAAUGCAUCUAGUACAACCUUAAAUAAAAACAACAUUAAACUACAAGAAAAAAGCCGUUAGUUUUUUUUUAAUACAAGUGAUAGUCUAAAGGGAGAGGAGGUUUCUCACAUAUAUACUAAUAAAUAAUAUAUUCAUAAUGAUGUUGAGAGAUUAAUAAAAAAAUAAAAAUUCAAGCAAUUAAUAAAUAAUUUUGUGAGUAAAAGAUAAAGCAAAAUUAAAGAGUGGUAAAUGAUUUUGGUGGUGUGAAAAUUUUGAAGAAAUAGGUGGGUUUUAUAGGGAAAAUUGAAUAGUACAAAAACUUUAGAAAAAGAAAGAAAAUUGAUGUUGGUAUUAAUUUUCAAAAAAAUUCUAUUGGUAUUAAUUGCACUAACAAUAUCAAAUCAUGCUUGAGUAGCUUCAAUGAGUGUGAGUAUUACUUUUUAAAAACCAACCGUUGGAUGAGCAAAGGUUGGUUGAGUGCAUGGGCGCUGAUGAGUGAGUAGAUAUAGUAGUUGCGCUGAGGUGAGUGAAGUUACUCCUGAGUGGGGGUGUGUGGGUUGCACUUGGGUGGGCUGGGUAUUAACGUUGGGUUAUAAAAGAUCAAUCACCUGUGCUAUAGCCCAGAUUAGCAUGUGCAUAGGUCCGUCCCUGACUGCAUUAGCUCAAAGUGUCUAUAUGUAUUUCUUAUUUCUUUUUUUUCCUUGUGGCAUAAGUGUUCUUAUUUCCAUAAAAUAUUAUGACUGCUAGGCCUACUUGCCGAAGUUGUUGCCAUUUGUUUUUGAUGAAAAAGUUGUUGCCAUUUCAUUCCAUCAGUUAAAUGAAAACCAGUGACAGAAGCAGAAGAGAAGGACAGGACCCUUUUUAUCUCUUUAUUUAUUUUGAUUUUGAUAUAUUGUUCCAUAUUUAGUUAUUGUCUCCACCCCAAGCGAACCAGUCAUUUUGCAAUUUUCUUUUCUCCUUAAACUUGUAGCUCCUUUGAUUGAUAUACAGGGAUUUUCGUCCCGAUGCAAUUAAAAAAUAUCAUCAAAAGUGUUAUCUUUUAACCAAAUGCUUCAAAAUACAAAAGAAUUCUACACAAGCAUCCUUUGAGCCUAAAUUUUGGCCUAAAGUUAACCAAAAUACAAACGAAUUCUAUACAGGGAUUUUCGUCGCGAUGCAGUAGAAUUUUUCCCAAACGACAAAUACAGAAUGGGCUUCCUUAAUAAUGUAUUGCAAUUUGCAUGCAUGACAUCACAAAAAUAGAACGUUGAUAAUGUAUUGCAAUUUGCAUGCGUGCAUCACAAAAAUAGAAUUUUGAUAUGGGGCUAACAACUCGUUUGGGCCCAUUUUAUAAUAUUCUAUCACCAUUCAUAUUUUAGAUCAACACUCAAAGAUAAUUCUAACAAGCAAAGGACCUAUUACUAUAGUGGUUUGAAGUAUUUAUUAUCUUAUAUAAAAUUUUUGGUUUGAGUCUUAGUAUCCGUGUAGUGUGUGAAUUUAGUAUAUUAUCGCUUCUUUCAAUAGAAAAGGUUUUUUUUCUAAAAAAAGGAACAAAAAAAAGGGAAAAUUCUAACAAAUAAUUAGCCAAAUUAAACUGCAUUUAGUCAUCUAACUGUGAUCAAAUGAACAUAUGAACCGGAUAUUCUAUAAAAAAUAUAAAUAUUCAUGACAACAGUUAAAUGAUUUCCAAAUUGACCUAUUUAUUUAGUUUUUUUUUUUUUUUUGCAAAGAUGUUCCUUUAAUAAUGAAGUAAAAAUGAGUAGUUUUGAAAAAUACAUAAAUCCAACGCUUAGGGCGUCAUAUAUAUGUUUAUCUCUGUUAUCUGUACAACGCACAAUGACGUUUAGUGAAAACUAAGUUGUGGACUUACAUAUUAAUGAUUGAAUAAAUCUAACCAGUUAUAUGAGUGGUAGCAUAAAAAGAUAUAUAUUGCCAACGGGAUCUAGCUUAGUGAAAAAUGACAUUGAUUUGUAGACUAGUGGUCUCAGGUACGACACCCCAGUCUCCUUGUAGUUUUGACUAUCGCUUGAACUAAAAAAAAAGAAAAGAUAUAUAUAUAUAUUUAAUGGAUUGUAACUUGCAAAUAAUAUAACGCUACCAGGUAGGGGUGGGCACGGUUCGGUUUGGACCGGUUUUUGCCUCAAAUUAGAACCGAUCCAAUACUAUUCAUCCGGUUUGGUUCGGUUCGGUUUUAAUAAAAAAAAUUUCAAAAACUGUCCGGUUCGGUUUGAACCGGUUUCGGUCCGGUUCCGGUUCGGUUCGGUUUUGAACCGGAUUAUAAAAAUUAUUUUUUAAAAUUACUUUUUAAUACAAUUCUCAACUGAAAUAUUAUUUUUUUACUUGAAAAUUAACAAAUUAUUCAAUUUCAUAUAAAAAAUAAAUAUUAAAGUGAGAAAAUAGAGAUAUUUUGACAUUGAACUUGGAUAAAUAUUAUGUUUUUUUUAGUGAAAUUAAAAAUAUAGCAUUAAAUAUAAAUAUAUAUAUUGAAAUUAUAUAUUUUUUUAGUUUCACCGGUUCGGUUCGGUUUUUGAAGACAUGGAACCGGAUCCGGAACCGGUCCAAACCGGUCCGGUUCGGUUUUUGACCGGUUUUUGACUUUUUGGUCAACUCGGUUUUUUUCCGGUUUGGUUCGGUGCGGUUUGGUUUGGAUUUCCGGUUCGCCGGUUUGAGUGCCCACCCCUACUACCAGGCCCUCAAUUGAUAAAUAAUCGUUCUCAGGUUCCUAGAGGAUCCUCUUUGUAAUUUCUUUUAAUGUUAAAAAAACAGGGUGAUAUUAUUUGUACUACAGUUAUUGACUACAAAUUGCUGACCACAUGUCUAAUACAAAGGGGACCCACAUACAUUGGAAUGUGGUAUAAACAACAUUAUUAAAAAAAAAAAGAAAGAGAUAAAUAAAUCAUCAUCUUCACCUAAAUAUAUACAAUAAUUGCAAGCAAGACAAUUAUUACAUGCAAGACAUAAAAGUGAAGCCUCAAGAGUCAAGACCUUAAAAAAUAGAACAUCAAAAGAAUAAUCUAGUGGAUAUGCCAAAAAUUUUACUCAAAAAAGAAACUUCCAAGUCUCGUUUUCUUGCGUGUGGAUGGUUAUGGGGCUGUAAUGCAGUAAUGGAAUUAAUAUUUACUCUUUGUGGUUGUCUUAGCGUGGUUGUACUUGAUUCUUUGGCAAAAGAAUAGAAUCUUAUUCUUUUUCUGCUUUAUUAGGUAAAUUUCUUCAAGUCUCGUUGUCUCUUUUCACUACCAUGGCAUAGCUGGUAGCAUUCCCACAUUUUUUUAGAAUUUACAAUUGUAAUCAUAUGGUAGGUUAACACAUUCUUUAUCUAUAUCGGUGGUUACCAUUCCAGCUAAGACGAAACAUGAGAAUGAGAUGAUAUCAAAAAAUUUCAGAAUUCUUGAUCGUUUGGGAUUAGAAAGAAUAUAUAUAGGAGCCAAUUAAGCAGUGUUAGAUAGAUCAAUUAAGACGUAAGACUGCCUCUCUCAUGUUGUAUGAGAAACAAAACUCUAUAAUAUUUUACAACUUCUUUGUUAUAAAAUUUUAAGGUGAGGACUUUGUCGUUAUCGUUUUAAUUAAGCAUUUGUUCUUUUAGAGAAAGUGAAGUAUUGCAAUGCAUACUCUACUACUAUCAUGAUAGAGUAAGUAAUUCACAUGUGAGACCAGACGAAUGUACGUUACUCAAUAUAAAUUGUUCACGUGUUUCAUUCAAGUCAUACAUAUGAAUGGACAUGUUGAACAUUAUUAUUCCACAUUAAGAAAGUGAAGCUUUAAAAUGUCACGAUGCUUGUAAUAUCGAACACAAUUGAUUUUGAGUUGAAAAAGUCUUUCCUAGCUACAUUUGUAAUAUAUUAUGUCAUCAUGUAAUCCAAUGUGUCAUAAAUCGGCUAUCAAUUUCCAUGACUAUCACAUAUAUGUGAUCAAGCAAACAUACAAUUGAAUGUAUGGUCCAUUUUAUAUGAAUCUCAAUCAAUAAAUUAUGUAGGUAUUCCUAUUAACUAUAAUUAUAUACGUCAUCUUCGUAGCAUCCACAUAGAUGAAGUGCAAGACUUUGUGACGAGUACUAUAGUGACAUUCCAAACAUUCCUCCUAGACGUACGCCUAAAGGAACAUAUUGGACGUCCACUUAAGUUCAGUAUAUAAGCAAAUGCAAUCUCCUUCCUCAGAUCACCCCUCACCUUUACUUAAUAUUCCGAAUAGUUUCUCAAAUGGCAAGUACUUUAGUCUUAAUGUUGGUUUCUCUUUCCCUCAUCUUAAUCAAUAUCAUUAGCCUUCCUCUUCCAACAAUGGCCAUCUCUUCAUGCAAAGGUCCAUGCAAAACCCCCAACGACUGUGCUGGUCAGCUCACCUGCAUCAACCGCAAGUGCAAUGACGACCCCGCUGUUGGGACACACAUAUGCAGUGGUGGUGGGGGCGGAGGUGGAGGAGGAGGAGGCGGAGGAGGAGGCAAUUGUAAGUCCUCAGGAACUCUCAAUUGCGGGGGAAAAUCAUUCCCCCAAUUUACAUGCUCGCCGCCAGUGACGUCAUCCACGAGCGCUAAACUCACGCUCAAUGACUUCAGCGAAGGCGGCGAAGGUGGGGACCCAUCAGAGUGCGACGGGAGAUUCCACUCUAACAGUGAGCGCGUGGUGGCACUUUCCACUGGGUGGUAUGACGAGGGGUCAAGGUGUGGAAGGUUAAUAAGAAUUACGGCGAGCAAUGGGAGGAGUGUGACGGCGAAAGUGGUGGACGAGUGUGAUUCGGUGAACGGAUGUGACAGAGAGCAUGCAGGUCUGCCGCCGUGUAGGAACAACAUUGUUGAUGGGUCUGCAGCAGUGUGGAAUGUUUUGGGAUUGAACAAAGAUUUAGGGAUUGUGGACGUCACUUGGUCCUUGGCCUAGUUAAGUCACGACCCUACCGUAGUAGUACUUAAUUAAUCUAAAUAAAUGAAAUAAUUAAGGACUAUGUUUCAUAUGUAUGGCAUACCAUGAUGCCAAGAAGUACGUACGCAUAGUAUUGUUUGGAUUUGUAAUUUAUGUAGUUUAUGCCAAGAAGGACUAUGUUUCAUGAAUUUGUAAUUUAUGGAAUUAAUUUUCCCAUCUUGGUGUUUUGUUAUAUUUAUGUAGUUGUCUUUGUUGGGAGUAUUCCAGCUUAGCUUAAGAGCUUUAAAAAUCUUUGGUCCCAUUUCCAAUUGGUUUUGGAUUAGAUGUUCACAUCUUACAUGCUUCUAUAUAUCACAAUAACAUGUUUAGUGCGAAAGACGCCCACAUAAGGGAUCGUGUUGAGACCAGCUCUGAACAUCCAUUGUUAACCUCGGGUUUCUCUGCGAGUCUCACGAAUACUUUACCUUAAUUAUAAACAGCACCAGUAAUCAUGUAUUGCUGGUAAUUAAUGAACUAAGCUUGGAUUUAAGAUUUCAUGUAGAUACAGAGGCCAAAUGCUCCCUAAGAAAUCUCACCCGAAAAGAAAAGACUUAUGUUGGGGAAGAGGCACAAAGUAAUUUCCAAAGUGUGUGUGAUUUGAUGAGACAAGCCUGCCAAAACAUAAAUCAGAAACAAUAUAUAUCUGGAGGAGCAUGCAUUGCGGGAGAUGACCGAAACUAAUUGACUCCAUAUAUAAUUAACUGUAUCAUUUAUCAUCUUCUUAAAUAUGUGAGUCACCCAAUAAUGAAAUAUACAGGUCCUACUAAUUAACUAUGAUUAAUUAAAUGUCAUCUUCUUAUUCAACAAUAUGCAACACUACAUGCAUGAAGUACCCAUAUAUAUAUAUAUAUAUAGACUUUGUGACGAGUGCCAUAGUAAAAUUCCAAAAAUACAGCACGCCUAAAAGAAGUGCAUGCAUGCAAUGAUCCCUACUUAAUAUUAAUUUAAUAAAUUUCAUCAAUGAAUUGAAAUGGAAAGUUUAAAGUUGUUGGUUUCUCUUCCAAUAAUCUCUAAUAUCAUCUACCUCCUUCUACCAUGAACAACCAUCGCCUGUGUGUUGGGAAUAUUUGUUCCAUAUAAACUCUAAAGUUAAGGGAUUAAGUUAGGGUUUAUAAGGACUUGGGCUACUCCUUCCAUUGCCAAUUGGUUUUGGAGUGGAACCUCAACUUCCUUCAUGGUAUCAGAGUGAGAAUGUGAAGGUAAAAAGUCCCACAUUGGAAAAGUUGAGAAACCUAGCUAGGGCUUAUAAGGAGUGGGCUACUCCCCCUAUUGCCAAUUGGUUUUGGGGUGGAACCUCAACUUCCUUCAUGGUAUCAGAGCAGGUUGCCCAUGUUUGAAAGCCCAACAGCCACGCGUGCUCUCACGUCACCCAAAAUGUGUUGUCCACAUGUUAGGCUUGAAAAUUCGCCACAUAUAUGCAGGGGCGUGUGAGAAUGUGAAGAUAAAAAGUCCUACACGGAAAAAUUGAGAAACCUAGUAAGGGCUUAUAAGGAGUUGGGCUACUCCCUCAUAACCAAUUGGUUUUGGGAUGGAACCUCAAUUUCCUUCAUGGUAUCAGAGCAAGGCUUCACGUGUUAGGCCCAACGGCCAAAUGUGCUCCCACGUCACUCAAUAUGUGUUGUUCACGUGUUAGGCUUGAAAGUUCACCACACAUGCGGAGGCGUGUUGAGAGUAUUUGUCCCACAUUGAAAAGUUAAGGGACCAAGCCUAGGUUUAUAAGGAGUUGGGCUAUUUCCCCCCAUUGCCAAUUGGUUUUGGGGUGAAACCUCAACUUUCUUCACUGUGAUCCCUUAAACACUCUAGUUUGCAAUGGCCGGUCGUACCCACAAUUCACAUGCUCACCGCCAAUGGCGUUAUACAUAAGUGCCAAGCUCACACUCAAUGAUUUCAGCCAAGGCGGUAAAGACGGGAUCAGCCGGAGUGUGACAACCAAUUUCACGACAACAAUGAGCUAGUUUUCGCACUGUCUACGGGGUGGUACUAUGGUAGAUCAAGGCUUAGAAGGAUGAUAGUAAUUUCAGUGAGUAGUGCCUACUACUGGGAGGAGUGUGGCCGCGAAAGUGGUGGACGAGUGUGAUUCUGUAAAAGGAUGUGAUUUGGAGCAUGCGGGUCUCCCUCAGUGUGGGAACAACGUUGUUGAUGGCUUUGUAGGUGUGUGGAACACUUUCGGGCUAAACAAAGAUCUAGGGGUUGUUAACGUUAGUUGGAUCAUAGCCGAAUAAUAAAAGCGUUCGCAAUAUUGCAUAACACCAUUGUGACAAUGUUAAAUUGUGUACCAAAACUCCCAGCGGCGCAUUUGGUGGAGGAGGAGGUAACACUGCCCUUCCUCUCUUAUUCCCUAUUCUUCCUUCUUUCUUUCCUUCUUCUUCUUUUUGUUCUUUCUUCGGGUGAAGGUUUCUUUGGGUUGUUGCCCUAUUUUGAAGGAUAGAUGGGUGUUGAGGCUCAAAAAAUCCAGGGUUGGGCCCAAAAAAAUUUCCGGCCCAGUGCGACACCUUAUUAAGAAAAGACUCGAUUCAGAGCACGCGAAAUUCUUCAUGCAUGCUUGCACGAGCCACGAUCCAUGUGCCAUGCCAACUAAAUAUGCAAUCCGUCACGCUAAGAAUUGAAAUGAGCCUAUAACAGGCACUGGCACUACAAGCUCAUGCUACUUAUCCCGUCAAGCAUCAUAUCCCUUUUCAAAGACGAUAAAAUUCAGGCAAGCCAAUCGACAUGCUAUGCCAAAUGAAAAAUCAUUAUUUUUACACUUAGCCACGCUGCAAGCUUAAGUGGGCCCAAGCCAUGCAAAUGCUUGAGGCUUGCUGAGUGAUUUGUGGUAUGGAAGGUAACGAGCAUUCAUGAGACCCAUUGAUGAGCCGAGAAAUGGAAGUUUUGGACUGCUUGGGAGCCCCAAAACUCGAGCCCAUUUCUUGAGCCCAAAUAUGUGGGUAAGCAUAAAUGAGAGAAAAAGGGAGCCCACCACUUUAGAAAAUUGACCCAUCACCUUAAUAAAAAUAGGCUAUCACUUUGUGAAGUUGGCCCAUUCCCUAAUGGACAAACCCAUUACCUUAGGAAGGCCCAAAUGACUAAGAAAAAUAUAUGAAAGUCUUCAGCACAUGGCUGGAGACAAAACCGCGACAAAAAGCCAAGGAAUGACUCACAUAUGCAGGCUGCUGGGAGGCUCUAGCACGUGACCAAAUGCAAACCUCAAGACAAACCAUUCAAAAGACCAAAGGGUAUUAGCGCGCGCAGGUUGCUAGGAGAAAAGACAUAUGUAACGACCCGGUAUUAAAUAAAUAUUUAAUUAUUAAUUAAACAUCAUAAAAGACCAUUUUGUCCAUAGAAUAUUUUAUUAAGUUUAAAGUUGACUUUUUGACCAAAAAGAAGUUUAGGAAUUUCGACUGUACCGUUGCAUAGAGCACGACGAGAUGAGUUCAUAGACACGUGGUGGGCUCUAAUCGGAGUUGUAACGAGAGAGAUACGAUCAAAAUACCCUCAGUGGCAUAACCGUAAUUUUGGCAAAAAGGGUUUGAUAAAAUAUGAUUUUUUUUCCUCUCUCUUUCUCUCCCUCACAUGGUCUCUCUCUCUCUCCUUGACGGCAGCUCUCUCUCUCUUUUCGAAACUUAGGUCACUGGCCACGGCUGCGGACGGGACCGGUGCCAAAAUGACCGGCUCAACCCCGGCGUCAUGACCCGGCCGUUCCUCGACAUCGGCCGCCGCUCCAGUUGUCAGAAAAUGGGGUUUUUAGGCUGAUUUUCGCUCGAAACUUCGCUGGCUCUGAUCUCUCUCCUCCGACCGCCAUUGUUGGCGAUCAAGGUAUAGAAAUUCAUCAAUUCUGCAUAAUCUAGGUGAUGGUUGGGUAUGAUUGCAUCAAUUUUGAGCAUAGGUAGCUUGAUUCUCAAAUUGGGUUUCGGCCAGUUUUGGGAGCGCAAUUCCGGCCACUUCCGGGCACUUUUUGGGAUAGGCCCAAGAACAAAAGUGACUCCAAAUAGGUGUUUCACCUAGGGUAGGAGUCUUGAGUCGUGAUUUGGAGUUUUUCCGGCAAAAGGGUAUCGCUUUGGACACCCAAGCACUGCCGGGGCGUGUGGCAGCGCGUAGGUACUGUAGAAAAGGGGCAUUGUAUCCCAAUGUGACCUCCUGGUUCUCAUGAGAGCGUAGGUGUGGUCGGAUCUCAAUUUGAAUACCAUUUGAGUCUCGAUCGAAUUUCACCUAUUGUGCGUUAUCCAGGUUCGAUAGGUUUGAACUGUUGGAUAGUCUUGAAUUUAAAAUAUGUUGAUCUAGGUAUUCCUAGGUUCGUGUAGGAAUUCACGGAUCUUGAAUCGGAGCCCCGGAUGUUCCAAUUUAAUAACUUAAAGUUUGCGUUUUACAGUAACCGUCUGAUCGUGCGAUCGUGAGCAAUCCGACCGUCCGAUCCGGACCAAAAUUGUAGGAAGUGUGUCCUAGGCCUUGUGGAACCUAUAGAAACUUUCGGAUUAGAAUUUGGAGGUCGUGGGCCCCGUGGGCUAGUUUGACAAAGCUUGGGUAGUUUGACCCUUGGUUGACCGUGAGUCCUCCGAGGUAGUUUCACUUCUCUAGAAGGAUUAAAAUGACCUUACUGACCAGUCUUGACCGUUAUGUAAGUUAUGUUGAUUUUGUGGGAUUAGGAGAUUAAUUUACUGUCUUAAACUGGGGUAUAGUGAAUGUUAUAUUGUUGUUUGAAGCUUGUGCAAUAUUGGAAAAUGAUAUACGUAUAUAAAGACAUGUUGGGAAUAAUGAUUGAGAAAUUCGAUUAAAGUGAUACGAUUACAUUAUAUAAAAGUACAUACUUUCCAUAUAUGGCGUUGGAAUUUCCAGCGUAUGGGAAGAAUGUAUAAUUAUUUAGUCUCACACGUGGCGUUGGAUUUUCCGGCGUAUUAGAAGAUUAUGUGAUUAUUGAGUCUUGCGUAUGGGAAGAUUAUGUGAUUACUGAGUCUCACACGUGGAGUUGGAUUUUUCGGCGUGUGAGACACUUCCCAUACGUGACGUUGGAUUUUUCGGCGUGUAAGACACUUUCCAUACGUGGCGUUGGAUUUUUCAGCGUAUGGGAAGAUUAUGUGAUUAUUGAGUCUCACACGUGGCGUUGGAUUUUCCGGCGUUGGAUUUUCCGGCGUAUGGGAAAGAUUAAUGUAUAAAAAGAAUUAUGUUUGGUAUGUUGCGAUUGAAAUUAAAAGGGGGAAGAUAACUCUUGAAACAACUUACUUGUACUACUGAAACAUUGGUAUAUCAUUUGGUGCAUGAUUAUGGAGGUAAAGAACUACGUGUGGCUUAAUCCCUUAACAAGGGUACGUAGGUAGCUUGGGGUCCCACCCAGGUGCAGCCGCUGACUAAAAUUUACUUAUGUUGUUUGAUUGUGUUGGAUUGUUAAAUGACAGGACCCGACCCAAAUUCCACUUAGGAAUCCGAGCCGAGCCCUAUGCAUGUUCGACACUUGACAGGUGCCAGGCACAAAGACUAAUUUGCCCUUCUAAUCAAAACUUAGCUUCAUUUUAGGUUUGACUAAAAUGAACAUUCUCAAAUUUACACCUGUCAACAAGCACUUAAAAAUAUACACCAACAGUUAAAUACGUCCUAGGGCAACAUCAGAGCAACUAUACAGAGUAAGGUACAAGUGUAAUUUUAUUAUACGAAGCCCUACAUCAACAAGGGAUGAGGUGAAAUGUGGACUCUGCCAGGUAGUGGCUCACUGUGCACGCUUUCUGCCUAGGGGCACAAAACAUUGAAAAUAUGAGUGGACCAAAAAUAAAGUUUAGAAAAUAACAUAUUAACAUACUAACCCCACUGUAAAAACAGUUAUGCAAAACUAAAACAUUCUUUUCAUUAUAUUCGUAUUGAGGUCAAUGUGUUCAUAUAUUUAUGUACAUAUACCAAUCAUACUCAUGGUCAAUAAAAUCUCUUAAAAGCACUGAAAUCAAUUUAAAACUACCACCUAGGUGUACCUCUUUAUUUCCGUCAAUUCCUGAUAUCCGUCAAUUCCUCAUAUGCCGUCAAUUCCUGAUAUCCGUCAAUUCCUCGCAUCACCAUUGGUGACAUGUACUCGCAGGACUCGGUGACCAAAGGUCAACUCGAGCCACAAUACUGGCAAGAUUCAGGGGACCUUGGUCAGCCUAAUCCGCAUCUCACUAUGCACGAGUCCGGGUACCAAAGAACUCGUGGGCAACUGUCCAGCAUGCUGACUAAACCAAAGGCAACCAAUAAAAUCUAAAGGCAACAUAUUUGUAUCUAGGUACCUGAGAUGGCUUAAGAAAAUAUAAAACUCUGAAAGAUCUAAUAAAUAAAUGAAUUCCUGUUAAAUCGAGAACUCUGCUGCCAUUUAUCUGAUACUAAGAUAGAACUUUUUUUUCCAAUACCCUUAGAGGAUAUCCCACUUGGCAGCAUACAAAUCAAAAUAUUUAAAAGCACAUAACAAAUUAUAGAAACACUAAUCUUUGAAUAAAACUUAUCCAAGAUCAAAUAAUGGAAUAUAAUUGGAUAAAUCAUUUAUAAAACAAGAAGUCCACUCACUGCUGGUCCGUUGUAGCUGGACCUCUUGAAGGUUCCUCCUGCGGGUCAACUGGUGCCCGGGUGCCUGAUUAAACCGUCAAGUAUUUAAUUAAUAAAACUGCUCGGUAUAAGUAUUUAAAUAAAACCCUGACCCCCGACUCUUAGAAAUGCGUGCACUAACUUUAGAAUCAUUCCUAUACCCACAAAAACUUUCCUUACAAUUGGAAUGGUUUAGAAGUGCCUCGAAACUCAAAAAGCGCUAAAGUCCCAAAAAGUCAACUCGGCACCCCGUGGUCUCAAUCUGAAUAUACCUAGGACACACGUCCUGAGAGUUUGAUCUCAAUCGGACGGUCGGAUUAACCAUGAUCGCACAAUUGAAGGGUUCUUAAAACUUUAACCUUAGGUUGGUGAUUUCGGAGUAUCCGGGACUCCGAUUCGCAAUUCUUUGAAUCCUAAAUGAUCCCGGAAAAGUCCAGAUCAACAUAUCUGAAAAUGGUUACGAUCCAACAGCUCAAUUGUAUUGAACCUGGAAAUCGUAUAAUAUGCAAAAUCCGUUCGAGGCUCAAAUGGUAUCCGAAUUGAGAUCCGCGAAUUCCUACACGCUCAUGACAACACGAGGAUCACUCUAGGACUGAAUGUGGUCUCCACCAUCAUGUUUUGAACAAAAGUGGUUGGCAUCGCGUGGGUGGCUUGAUAAAUUCCGACGACUGGAAAACUUCAAAAUGUUGAGCUCAACUUCCUACUCUAGGUUCAAAACAUGAUUUGGAGCCACUUUUGUUCUUGGACCUACCCCAAAAAGUGGCCGGAAGUGGCCAGAAUUUUAAUAUCAAAACUGGCCGAACUUUGGAUUGUGAUUUGGUCUACCUAGGCUAGAAAUCGUUCCAAUCCUACCCAACCAUCAUCUAAGUGAUGAAAAUUAGGUAAGAAACCAUACCUUGAUCGUCCAAUUUGGUGGCCUGAUGACGGAGAUCGAAAGCUUGGAAGUUUUGUCAAAAACGACUGGGUUUUUCGAUUUUUCCGGCGGCAGGGCUGACGGCUGGCAGCGGAAGGUGGUCGGGGUUUGAAGGCGGGGUUUGGCCGGUCGUUUUGGCUCUGAUCUUGCGGCUUAGGGUGGUCAGUGGCGGAAGCUAUGGAGGUUUGGAGAUGCGGCUAAAGGGAGGAUGUCGGGGGGAAGAAGAGAGACUGAAGGAGAAGAGAGAGAAAAUGGGGUUUUAAAAAUCCUGACUUUGAAAAUUACCAUUUUGUCCCUAAGAGUAUUUUGACCGUAAUUUCUUCAUUAAAACUCCUAUUCGAGCCUACCACGUGUCUACGGACUCAUUUCGUCGUGCUUUAUGCAAUGGUGUAAGAGAAAUUUCCAAAUUCUUCUCCGAUAAAAAAAGUCAACUUUUCUUUGAUAAACUAUUCUAGGGGCAAAAUUGUCUUUUCUUCUUAAUAAUUUAAUGAUUAAAUAUUAUUUAAGGUUUGCGUUGUUACAUUAAAUAUCAUGUGGUGGCCUUGGGAAGUGGUUUGAUGUUAAUCUUGGUGGUAUGCAUAAAUUAGUGAGUUCAUUAAAUGCAUGAUUUAUUUUCACUAUGUGAUUUAAGAGUUGGGUAGGUGGUUUUGUUUUGGUUUAUGCGAAGGCUGGAGGCCGUUAUUUGAAUUGCAUGUUGUUACAUUGUACAUGCUGCCAGUUGUGGAUUUUAAAUAUGUUUUAUACAGGUUAAAUUUUUGGGGAAAGUUCAAAUUACAGGAGAGACUCUGUUGAAAUUUCGGCAGAAAGUCCCGGUCUUUAAUAAGUUGGCCCGGCAUCAGGGUGAUGUCGAGAAUUCCACAGGAUUCGUCUCGGGUUCUGAGGAAUUCAGGGCGGGUCCUGUCAACAUCCUUCAGACCAACGCUGCUAUCUAUUUCCUUCCCUUACUAGCUCUUGCCAUGAAAUAAGGGAGGAAAGAAGGAGAAGUGAUAACCAGAGAUGGGAGGUUACCACUGGAACGGCUGCGGGAAGACUUUUGAGCUCCCAAAAAUCUUGUCUCUGUGUGUUUGGACAGAUGAGGAUUUCACAAAUUAGGAUGAAUCAAAGGAAGGGAAGAGAAAUGAAAGGAAAAACUUGGAAAAAUUGGAGAGAACCUAUUAGGGUUUCUUGGGAAGAAGGAGCUUCCAGCGGCUAUAAAAGAGGGGUAUCCUCUACCAAUUAUCUCAACCACAUCCAGAGAGAGCAAGCUUCACCUCUCAUCCUUGGAACCCUUCAAUUUCUAGCCAUAUUCCUCCAUCUCUUCCCAUCUUCUCCUCUGGCAAGCUAUUCCAAAGCCUGACGAAUCCUACGUUAAGUUGCUAAAAAUUACCCAAAGCACCCAUUCUUCCAUCCUAAUCUCUGUCUCUCUCUGUCUCUCCUUAGCAAAUCCUCAUGAAACCCUUUGCUUUAACCUCUGUUUGUUGUAGAAAACCUGGUCCUUCUCUCUCUCAUGCUAAACUCAUGAAUACUUAGCUUCCAUGCCACAUAUUUCUCAAGCCAAACCAAGAAUUUAUCUGUAAGCAACUGUUGGUUUCAUUGGUGAAGAAGAUCAAGGUGUUUCUUAAGGCUCAGCUACCCUUUGGAAGCACUCUUGGGGUCUGAUUCUUGAACUCAGACACAUGAGGAAUUUUCACCUAUUUGCUCCUUAUAGCAGCCCAGGCCAAUUUAUAGCUGCCAGAACGAAAAAGCCCACAAUAGGCUGCAGUGGGUUGUAGUCCAAGGAGGUUUUUGAGGGAAAAAACAUCAAACCUUUAUAUUUUUCUUGAUUUAAAUUCGCUAGAACUAAAAACGUAAAAGACGACGGUAGACCACCAUCGUCUAAUGUGCUUCUAGACCGUGGUAUAAGUGACUGCCGUCUAUUGUCAUAUUUUAGACGAUGGUGAUUCACCAUCAUCACAAUGGUCAUUAGAUGAUGGUUUUUGGCAUUUUUUUGUCAUCUUAAUAGUCAUUAGACGACAAUUUCACAGUUUAGAAGAUGGUGAUUCACCAUCAUCUAUUUAUCAAUUAAGAUGACAUACGGUUUAUUUAAAGACAUAUUUUUUCGUCGUCUGGUGAUUCACAGUUCGUUAUUUUUUGUUGUCUUAAUGGUCAUUAGGUGGUGGUUUUAUUUCGUUAGCAUCGUGUCUAUCUCUAUAUUUUGUAAUGAUAUUUGUGAAUUUAUAUCUUCUUUCGGGUUAUUUUAUUUUGAAUUAAUGGACUUUUUCAAUUCUCAAAAUUUGUUUCAAAAUAUUUCAAUUAGAAAAUGUCAUCAAAAGUGUUCUCUUAUAACCAAAUGCUUCAAAAUACAAAAGAAUUCUACACAAGCAUCCUUUGAGCAUAAAUUUUUAGCCUAAAGUUAACUAAAAUACAAAAGAAUUAUUCCAAUGUCGAACUAAUUUUGCUAUGUAUAACUGAUUGGCGUAAAGUUAACCAAAGAGAAAAGAAACUGGAUAAUAUCUCCAAAAAUACAAGUCUUUGUAGUUCUAAAUUACCCACAAGUGUGCCCAUUCACCAAUUUCCUUUUGCCUAUAACUUUGAUAAGUUCUCCUCUCAAUGAAACAUAGUAAAUAAAUAAAGAAAAUUAGUCAAUAAAUAAAUAGGCAUUCUCCGCCUCGUAAUAGUGAUUUUUAGAUUUUGCCCCUGACGCAAAUAAGACAUACUACGGACAUGUUAUGGUUUUUAAAAACUGUCGUCCUUAAAAGCGGGUCAUUUUAAAAACAGGAUAUUCCUAACAUUUUACACCCUAAUAGAAGACAAUUUUAAGACAAACUGUCGUCAGGCAAAAUAAGACGACAGUAUUUAGGGAAUUCGUUGUCUAUUGAUCGUCGUCUAUUACAAUUAUUGUUCUAGUGAAUAUAGCCCAUUAUGUAUUAGCUUAUUAAAGUCCAAACAAAUCCAAUUAGUUGCAAGGCAGCAAUAAAAAUACACAUUAAAAUAGGUACACUUUCAAUUAUGUUGUUGAACAUAUUUUUAUUUUGAUAAUAUGUGUUUUUUGGUUACAUUUACUAUGUAUUUGUUUUAUGUUAAAGCUUAUCAAUGGGACUAUAAACUAGCCUAGUCUAUAUGAUUUAAUGUAUACUUUUUUUCUUUCUAGAAAGACUAUAGAAACUAUAAGUACAAAAACAAUCAUUAGAUUUUAAGCUAAUAACUUCAGCUAACCCACCCAUUGAAAAAUUUCUGAGUCCGCCCUUGUAUCAGCUAGCCCACUCGUUGAUAGGCAGAUGCCCAGUCUGGGGGUUCUUAUCCCUCUUGCCUUUGGAGUUUUUUCUGAAAUCUGGGCUUUAUGCCUCUCCACUUCUCAUCUUUGUCCUCCAAAGUCCCAACCUCAAUCUGUGUCUGUAACUACCCAUUAAGAACACCAUUUUUUGCGUAUUUCACAAAAGUUGAAAAGAGUUUUGACUCGGGUGCUUGCAUCACCUCCUUCUAUGUGUAGGUUUCUGUUGGUUGCUUUGGAUGUGGGCAUGUCUAUCUCAUUGGUUUCCUCUUAUGCGUGGUGCGAUUUUAGGUUUGUUCGUUGUGCAGUGUAGUGAAUUCCGAUUACGAAUUACUCAUGUACGUUUACUUCACAUAAAGGAAUAAAAAUACAAGUGGGCCCACAUAAAAUUAGGAAUUUAGAGGAAUUGGGCUCUCGGGUGGAAGUGAUAAGUCCAUAAAUUUACACAUUUAUGUACUCUUUAUACUUUAUUUUUGUAGGAGAAUUUGAUUUAAAAAUGACUUAUUAAUUUAUUUUCUCAAUUUUCAGCUUUUCAGAGCAAGUAAGUUGUUUUCAACGGAAAUACGAUUUUUGGUGGAGUUUUAGUACGAGACCAAUUGGAGAUAAAAGCUAAGACCUUGAAGAUGAUUGUAGAAUUUUUCUAGAAUUUUCGGAGCAGCCAAUGAGAGCAGACUUUGAAGUUAAGUCAGCAUAAGAUGCAAUCCUGUCAAAACUGUAAUGUUGUGGAAGAAUGACUAUUUGAAGACUUUCCUGGUUUUUCCUCAAGGCAUGCGAUAUAUGGCUGGAAAGAGAAGACAAAAAUCUACAAUUUACAUAUUUUUCCCAAAUUUUCUUGGAGAAUGAACAAUCCCAAACGUGCGUGCAAAUUAACUGAAGUGUUAUCCCAGUCAAAGUAGGAAGAUGAGUCAAUUACUUACCCAUUUUUGAAUUUAUGUUUCAAUUAGGUUUUUCUUUAUUCUUGGGCUGCUGUAAAAGCCCAGCUAGGGUAGGAAUAGAUGUGUGGUGUCUUAUUUAAGCAUGAGAGACAACUCCUUUGGGAGAGACGCAAAGACUAGAAGAAAUUGGAGAUACCGAAAGAGUACCGGAAUUGGCUAAGUUUUAUUGUUCUUCCUUACGUUUUUGCUUAUGUCAAAUUCUAUGAUUAUGUGUAACUAAUUUUCUUUUGCUACGGCAUGAUGUAGCCCUAGUAUGAUAAUCUAGUUUUCUUAUUUUACCUAUCUAUUGAUUGCCGUUUGAUGUUGGAUUCUUAAUCACUGUACUUAAUAACUUGGUUGAUUAUCUUGAUGCUUGAUCACCAUCUAGACUUCUAAUUGAGUUAAUUGGAUGCAAAUUAGAGUAAAUACCAUACUUAAUUUGAGGCUUGCUUUUUGUGAUUAGGAUUUGUAAUUCGUUUAGGGUACAUACCAUACUCCUAGGGUUUACAUGCUUGUUCGAGGUUUUCAUUGAUCUUAAUGAGUUUCUAUGUGUUGAUAUUUGACCUAAAUACCAUAGGAGAAUUGCAUGUAGGAACAUACGAGUUAGCCUAAAUAGCAUAAGUAAUUCAUGAAAAAGGAAAACUAAGCAACGACAUCAAAUGAUUAGUAAAUAGGUAGGUGAAUAGGAGGCUAGAUCGGAUUACUAGUGGUGAAUUCAUUGUCCUAGUGCUUUUAUCAAUUUGAAUUUCUUAUCCUUGUGUUUCGUGACUUUCUACUUAUUUUGUCUUUUAAUUUCGUUGUUAAUUAAAUCAUUCUUUCAAAAACCCCUUUCGUGUUUAUGCGAGUAUGCUAUGUGUUUAAUUUCUUGUUUAUAUAAUUAGAGUAGUUAAACUAUUUUGUGAAGUAAAUUAGGUUAGACUAAUUGGUAGUUGAACUCAAUCCUCGUGGGAAUGACCUCGUAUUUGCCAUACUAUAUUAUGAUUGACCUUGUGCACUUGCAAGUAUAAUUUGUGUUUAGACUAAUCUUUAUAAUCUCCAUUUUUCAGGUUGUUUAAAAUUCACAACAGGGAGGUGAUCUUCUAACUCCUUAAAGAAUUAUCCCAUAAGUAAUUCAUCUUUUUCACCUAUUAUAUCCUCACACAAAAUUUGCAUAUAAAAGAAUUUAUUUAGAAUAAAGACAUUUUUGUAAUCAAACGAGUUUCAAUUCCAAUUCAAGGAGACUAAAGGUUUAUUUGGAAGUGAUUCUAGAUAGGCCAGAAACACUUCUGGGGAGAAGCAUCUCCCAUGUGCUUCUCCAUAUAAUCACUUUUAGUAAUUUUAAGUGAUUUUGGGGAGAAGCACCUCCCAUGUGCUUCCCCAUAAAAUAACUUAAAAUAACUUAAAAUGAUUAUAUGGAGAAGUGAUUCUCCGUAGAAGUGAUUAUUGGCCUAUCCAGAAUCACUCCCAAACGAGCCCUUAGUAAACAACUUAUAAGGAGUCAAUAUCAUUCCUACCCUGAUUCCAGAUAGUUUAAUAAACAACUUCAAUGAGAAUCCGGACUUUAACUCUUCCUCAAUAAAAUUCCUCCUCACCAAUCGAUUACGGAUUAGUAAACAUGCAAAAGACAUGGACCCACUCAAUGCCGCGCCAAAAAAAAAAGUGAUUUACUUGAUAGUUAUAUAGUUUUUUUUCUUGUCAAAUGGUAAGGAGAUAGCAUUCAUAAAUUACGCCACGAGGGCAACAGUACACAUACAAUACCUAGAAGGACCACACAACUACCCAAAAAGGGGUUACAAUCAAUACGGAGAGAUCCAUUGGCAACAUCAAACUGUUAUACUAUACCUCCACUUAGAGCCAACAAGGCCAAAGAUAAUUCGACAUACACGCCUGUUUGGAAAAGCCAAGUAUAGAACCCACAAUGCAAACUACAAAAGUAAACUCUCAUGCAAAAAGACAACAAACACGCAUCAAACUUGAAAGAGUUGAUGCGCUUAUUGAACACCAAAUAGUUGUGAAGAUCCAUAUUUUAAAAAGGAUAAAAGAAGAUAUUUAUCCUUUGGAUAAACUUGGGUGAUCUUAUUUUGUUAAGAUAUUUGUCAUUUGGAUAAACUUAGAUGAUCUUUAUCUAUACUUAAGAUAUUUAUCCUUUCGAUAAACUUGGAUGUUGUUAUCCUUUUAAAUAUUGAAAUUUUCCUUUGAGGACUGAAGUUUAUCCUAUCCUUAUAACCACCACAAAUAGGAGCAGAACCUUAUAGUUUCUAAACAUGAGAGAGAGAGAGAGCGAGCGAGAGAGAGAGAAUGUGUGUAUGCGUAUAUGUGUUGGUGGAUGAGUUGUCUACCAUUUCUUUUAAGAGUUCUCAUUAUUGAGGUGAGUAAUUUAUAUAAUGUGUUCUAAAACUUCUUAUUUUAUGAUAAAAUGAAAAACCAUGAAUUAUCAUGGAUUUCUUCUAUUUAUAAAGGCUUAUUUAUGGAUAUGCCCCAUGUGCUUUUAAAAUAGUCUCAUAUUACCACAUGUUCUAUGAAAUGUCUCAAUAUACCAUCUAUAUACUUUCAAUAAGUGUCUCACGUUAGCUAUUCCUUCAGAUCAGAGAGAAGUUCCUUUAGCUGAUGUUGUGGCGCCCACUUCUUUUGAAUCUCUUAACAAGGGAGAUGAAGGUUUGGUUAGGUUGAGAAAAGGGGGAAUUUGGGAGAAGAAGGUUAGGUUAAGGGAAUUUCAGAUUUGGGAGAAAAUGAUGGAUUUGGGACUCAAUAUGGUGAAGUCUUGCAAGGACCGGAGCUCGGUCUCACUGGUGUGCAAGGACUGGUACGACGCGGAGCGGUGGUCCCGCCGCAAGUAUUCUUCGGAAACUGCUACUCGGCGUCGCCGGAUAUAGUGACCCGGCGGUUUCCUGAGCAUCCGGAGCGUGACCCUGAAGAGGUAGACCCCGUUCUCGGACUUCAUCUGGUUCCUCCGGAACUGGGAGCAGCGAUGUACAGGCUUGGCUGGGAGUGUUUGCCAGCGAAUACGCGCUUCUGAGAACUGAGCUGAAGAGGAUGACGUGACUGAUAUAGCUUGAUUCUGGCUGUGCGUUUCUGGGGUCAAAUCUCUCUCCGUUCAGAAUUGGAAGGGUUCAGCNNNNNNNNNNNNNNNNNNNNNNNNNNNNNNNNNNNNNNNNNNNNNNNNNNNNNNNNNNNNNNNNNNNNNNNNNNNNNNNNNNNNNNNNNNNNNNNNNNNNUACGACAACAAGUGGAGGUGCAACACCUAACCAGCAGGCACGGGAGGUUCGAACGUUCUAACAUUAGAGGGGAGCACCCAAUUUGAUCCUACUCAAUAUAAUUCAACAUCUUCUCCCAAAUUUGAACCUCUCACAUUGCCAAAUAUGAUCCUCUCGAAUCCCCAAAUUGAAAAUGGGAUCCCCCCCCUUCUUCUCCCAAAUUCCCCAUUUUCUCAACCUGACUAACCAUUCAUCUCCAUUGUUAAGAGAUUGAAAAGAAGUGGGGGUCACAUCAACGAACGGAACUUCUAUCAAAUCUGACGGAAUAGCUAACGUGAGACACUUAUUGAAAGCAUAGAUGGUAUAUUGAGACAUUUCAAAGAACAGGUAGUAAUUUGAGACUAUUUUGAAAGCACAUGUAUCCAUAAAUAAGCCAUUUAUAAAUAUCUUUUUAUUUCAAGUCAAAUAUGUCUAAUUUGGUGCAGUGUUUCACACUAUUAUUAUUUGGAAUAUUAGUAAUGUACGCACUAUUUAUAGAACAUGAGAACUUCAGUGAUGGGGUAUCCAAGGGGUAGAUGUACCACAUGGGGAUAUAGGGUGGUGAGGCCAAUAGGGGUCACAUGAUCGGUUACAUGCUAUGAAGGAUAACCGAGUUAUGAAGUAAUGAUGUGAUAUGAUCUGGAUUGGUCUUUGUUUUCAUGAUAUUUUUUAUAGUGUGUAAACGACAUUUCUUGACUAGCACAUUACAUAAUUUACUCACUGAGUGGUCUUUGCUAAUCCCUCACCCUGUUUAUUUUUAGAUAGAUUAUAUAGUGGAAAAGAUAAGGACCAAACCACUUGAGGUUGAAAUUGAUGAGAAUAGUAGAAAUUUAUUUAUUGUUGGUACAAUUGAAAGAUUUGGAGCUGUUUUUAAUAGAGAAGUUUAUUUUAACCAAUUUUUUGGCCCUUUUAUUUUAACGUUUUAUUAUCACACAUCGGCCACAUGAUUUCUUCCCUAACCCAGGUCGUGGGCAUGACAGAGCUCACAUCCAUCGCAGCCUCCUUCGCUACUGUAGUCACUGCCACCGCAGUGGGGAAAUGGUAAAUAUAACCGAAACUACUGCAACCCAAGAACCUACAACAACAAACAAAAAGCCCCAGAAAUUCGGAGAGAGAGAAAGGAAGGAAGAGGAGAAAGAAGGGGGGACGGGUAAAGAGAGGAGGGGCAGAGACUAACUCCCCCUUGUUGCGGCCCUGAAGGGAGGCUAUCGUGUUUGGGUUUGAGAGCGUUUCAGAGGCUACUUGAUAGCUAUAUGGAUGGAUGGAGGGGCCAAUUGUGUAGCGGUUUGUAACUUUAUGGUUAUUUUUAUCAAUUUUUAGAAAACUCCGAUCAAAACUUCUACAUACUCCAAGAUAGGGCAUGAAAACUACUUCUUAUAUAUUGCAUAUAACACAUCUCCACUCAUUAUUCAGAGUUCAUCAUUAGUUUUGGAAAUUCUUAUACCAUUAUCUAGUGUCCAUUAACACACAUCUUAUUCAUAUUUAUAUAACUAGCUUCAAUAUAUUAAUUACUUUCCAAAUUUGGCUUUGUAGUCCCUCCAGAGCUGAUCAACUGUCCUCCCAGUGAUGUCUUUAAAGAAGUUGACACUGUAACCAAAUCUCAUCUUCCUGUUCAGAUUUGCUACAAACUCAGUUUUAACAUUCUCGCAGUAGUCUAGGAACCGUGCAGUUACAUCAUAACCUUGGUCCCAACGAUUAUCCUCACCAUUUUUCACCCAAUGAUCAGGCGUAUAGCCUGCUUUCAACCUCACAAAGUCUGCAAUGCCCUCUAUUAACCCACUAGGAGCUCCGCCAUUGCCAUUCCACUGCCAUACAUGCGUCAUCUCAUGGAAAAUUAAUUACCCCGUUGAACUCGUAUACGAGAUUUCCCAUGCCUGGCUUUAUGCUUUGGAUAGAAGGUGUCAGAUAUCGAUGUUAAUGAAAAUAUAGCAGGUCCUAAUUGUGAGAAUAGCAAUAUUGAACAGAGUUUAACAGAGAAAAGCAGAGAUCUUAGAAGAAGAAUUGAUGUAUUCAUACUUGAUUAUUCAACACAGUACAGUAAUCGGUUUUAUACUAGCUUGACAAAGCUUUGUGUACACGUUUCUAACCUCUUAGCCUUUCUAACUACUUUAACAGAACUCUAAAACUGCCUAACAGUCUUAACAAUAUUUCAACAACUCUCUUCUUCAAUCUUCUGACAUGUGGCAGAAUUAGGACCUUUGAUAUCUUUACAUGCCCCCUCAAUCUCAUGCUUGGAGGAGCCAAGCAUGAGAUUGGAACAAUGAUGCUGGAAUAAAGGGAUAGACAGCCCCUUAGUGAGAAUGUCAGCAAAUUGUUCUGCAGAAGAGACAUGUUGCACAAGUAAAUCACCCCGAAUGACUCGUUCUCGAACAAAAUGAUAAUCAAUCUGUAGAUGUUUCAUUCGGGAAUGAAACACUGGGUUGGAAGAGAGAGCAAUAGCAGAGAUAUUGUCACAAUGAAUUAAAGGAGGAACAUGUAAUGGAACGUGCAGAUCACAGAACAACUGUCUGAUCCAUGCAAGUUCAGCAGCCGUAAUCGCCAAAGCCCUAUACUCUGCCUCAGUGGACGAACGAGAGACAGUAUGUUGCUUCUUAGAAGCCCAAGAAAUAGGACUAGAGCCUAAGUAAACAAUAAAUCCCGAAACAGAUCUGCGGUCAUUAGGAUCCCCAGCCCAGUCAGCAUCACUAUAAGCGUGCAGAUGAAGAAGACCAGGCUUAAACCAAAUGCCAAAAUCAAUGGUUCCUUUCAAAUACCUCAGGAUUCUCUUAACUGCCACAACAUGAGAUUCCAUAGGAUUAUGCAUAAAUUGACAAGCUUGAUUCACUGAGAAGGCAAUAUCUGGCCUUGUGAAAGUGAGGUACUGCAAAGCACCAACAAUGCUUCUAUACUGCUCUGGAUGAGAAUAAGGUUUGCCAUCAUCUUUCAAGAGUCUGUGAUAAGGAAGACAAGGAGUAGGACACGGUUUUGAAUCCUGCAAAUCAACCUUGCCAAGCAGUUCCUUGAUAUACUUAGUUUGAGACACAAACAAGCCAGCAGACUGAUAUGAAAUUUGGAGCCCCAGAAAAUAAGUCAAUUGGCCUAAAUCCUUCAUAUCAAACUCCUGAGUUAAAGCACUAAUUACAGAUGCAAUAAGAGAUGAAUUACUGCCAGUAAGAAUGAUAUCAUCAACAUAGAGAAGCAAAACCACAGUACCAAGUGACGAAUGGUGAAGAAAGAGAGAUGGAUCCGCAGUUGAAGCUUGAAAACCCAAGCUUGGUAAGAAGCUAGUAAAUCUUUCAUUCCAGGCACGAGGAGCCUGUUUUAAACCAUACAAGGACUUCUUGAGUCUGCAAACAAAAUCAGAAGAAUAAAGCUUACUCUCAAAGCCUUGAGGUUGUGUCAUAUAAACCUCCUCUUGAAGAACACCAUGCAAGAACGCAUUUUUAACAUCAAGUUGCCGUAAGGACCACUGAAACUGAGCGGCCAGAGCCAGAACUAAUCGAACAGUGGUUGGUUUAACUACCGGACUGAAGGUUUCAUAAUAAUCAAUACCCUCCUCUUGACUAAAUCCCUUAGCAACCAAGCGAGCCUUAUGCCUAGCAAUAGAACCAUCUGCAUUCUUCUUGAUCCUAUAAACCCAUUUACAGCCAACAAGAUUCUUAUGAGCUGGGAGAGGAACCAAAUCCCAAGUACCUUGAGCAUGAAGAGCCUCAAUUUCCUCCCGCAUGGCAGAUUGCCAUUCCGGUGAUUGAGAAGCAGCCUUGAAAGAACUAGGCUCAAUUGUAGAGAAAUCAGUAGAAGUAGAAGCAGAAAAAGCCUUCCUCUUGGAGAUGCCAUUUUUAGACCGUGUUGUCAUAGGAUGCAGAUUUAUAGAUGGUAGAGGCAAGACAACACGAAGACUUUCAGGCUGAAAAUCAGGAUCCACAGGGAGAGGAGACUGUGUAGCUGAAUGUGUAGCAGAAGGGGAAGUAGUCAAAGGUUCAUUGGCUUCAAAGGUGGAAGGAGAAGGUGAGGCAAUGGAAAGAGAAGAGAGAGGUGAUAAGACAGUAUUAGUGAAUGAAAUGGAUGGAGGAGGAGAAGAGGAAGGGAGAUACGGAGAUGAAGAGAUACUUACUGGAUGGACAGAUGUGAAUGGAAACAUAGUUUCAUCAAAUAGGACAUGUCUAGUGACAAAUAGUCUAUUGGUAAGGAGAGAAAAACAAAUAUAGCCUUUAUAUUGUCCUGCAUAGCCUAGAAAGACACAAGUAGAAGUUUUUGGCUGAAGUUUGUUUGUAUUAUAAGGCUUGAGCAAAGGAAAGCAAGCACAGCCAAAUACCUUUAGAUGAGUAAUGGCUGGGGCAGAUCCAAACAAUAAGAAAUAAGGAGAUUUUAAAUGAAGAGUUUUACAAGGCAUCCUAUUGAUCAAGUAGACUGAAGUAGCACAAGCAUGAAACCAAAAUUUUGGUGGUAAAUGAGCAGUUUGCAAUAAAGUGAUAGCAGUCUCUAAGAUGUGUCGGUGUUUUCUCUCAGCUAAGCCAUUUUGUUCAGGUGUAUAGGGACAUGAUUUAUGAUGAAUGAUACCUCUAGCAAGAAGAAAAUGUUGAAAUUUAUGACUAAGAUACUCACCACCUCCAUCACUUUGAAAAACCUUAAGAGAAGCAGAGAACUGAGUGACUAAGUAAGCAUGAAAAUGAACAAAAAUAGAGUAAACUUCUGCUUUAUUGAUCAUUGGAAAGAGCCAAGUAAAUCGAGUACACUCAUCUACAAAGCUAACAUAAUAUUUGAACCCCUCAACAGAUAUUGUUGGAGAAGGACCCCACACAUCACUAUGAAUCACCUCUAAAGGUUUGACAGAUUUUACUGCUGGAUAAUGAAAAGGAAGUUUAGCUAGUUUGCCUUCUAAACAAUGAUGACAGAUAGAUUGGACUUUGUCUGAAGAAAAAGGAACCUGUGUUUGAUGUAAAAGAGCAGUAGUAAUGAUAUUGGAGGGAUGACCAAAUCGCUUGUGCCACAGACUAGUGUUUACUGGAUGUCCAAGAAAGCAGAAAUGUUGUUUGAGGAGAGAAGCAGCUGGAGUAGGAUGAGGCUGUGAAGGAAAGAAAGGAAUUGAAUAUAGGCCAGCUCUACACAGCCCCUUGAGAAGAACACUCCCCGUGAGUUUGUCCUGAAUCCAAAAGCCAAAUGCAUCACAUAUAAAUCUGCAGUUAUUAUCUUUACAUAACCGAUGCACAGAAAGCAAAUGCUGAGAUAUCUUUGGCACAUGCAAAACUUUCGAUAAUUGGAAAGAACACUGAGGAGUAUUCAAAGAAGAAGAGCCAACACUAGAAAUACUCAAACCUGAACCCCCCGCAGUGGUGAUAGUCUCAUUUCCUAAGAAAGGGGUAGCAAGACUGAGUUGAGACAAAUCAGACGUCAUAUGGGCUGUUGCUCCAGUAUCAGCUACCCAAAAUUGCUCAGCUGAUGAGGAAGGAGAACAGUCGGCAUGCAUUGCAGUAAGAUUGGAUGAAGGAGGUUUGCCUUGAUAGGAAAAAUUGCCUCUGUGGUAACACUGAAUAGCGGUGUGGCCAUACUUCCAGCAAAUUUGGCAUUGAACAGAGGAACUAGGACUUGUGAAUUGCUGAUGUCGCUGAUAACAAUCAGCAGCAAGAUGACCUUUCUUGUUGCAUAUUUGACAAGUUGGAAUAUCAGUACCCGAACCAAGGAUGCCAGGGCCAGAAUUAGGUGGAGCUUGAUACGGUCUUGGACUAGAAGAAAACUGAUGCCGAGGUCUGCCUCUUCCUCGAUAAAAGGAACCUCUAUUAGGGCCAGAUUGGAAACCACCAUUAUGUGAAAAAGAGCCACCAUUAGAGCUAGAGUGGACACCUCCAUUGAGACCACCAUGAACACCACCAUUGUGGCUAGAUGAAAUAGAAGAUGGGACAGACGGGGAAGUGUCAGCAAGAACAAGAGAUGUUCCUUGGAAUGAUUGAUUGUUCGCCAUCAUUGCAGAGGCAAAAGGAGUGGCAGAGCAAGUAUGUUCAAGAAUGGCCUCUUCAGCAAGCAACUGAGAUCUAAAAUCUUUAAGAGAGAGCACAUUUUCCCUGCCUCGAACCAUACACCGAAAUGUAUUAUAUUCUGGGGGAAGACCAUUAAGAGCCAAGAUGACAAUAUCAUCAUCAUCAAAAGAAACCCCAGCAGCAGCAAGAUGAUCUCUAGCAUCCUUUAUCUUGUGCAAGUAUUGAGAGACUGGGUCAGCACCCUUCUUGAUAUUCUGAAGCUCACUUUUCAUCUGAAAAAUCCUAGCUUUGGUAACCAUAGAAAAUCUGUCCUUCAACUGAACCCACAUAUCAUGAGAACUAGUACACCCAAUGACAUAUGAGAUUGCAGCAGAAGAAAGGGUGGCAAUUAGCAAUUGCAUCAAGGCACGAUCAUGCAUCUUCCACACUGCAUAAGCAUCAGUUUCCACACCUUCAACAGCAGAAUCUUCAUCAAAACGAGGAGGACACAGCCGUGAACCAUCAACAAACCCCAAUAAGCCAUGACCUUCAAGAAGAAGCUGCAUCUGAAAAUUCCAAGUGAGAUAAUUUGCAUCAUCAAGCUUAACUGUCACAGAAGUAGAGACAGUGGGAAUUAAGGUAGUAAUCGGAGAUUGAACAAUUUGAAGUUGAGUAGCAGUCACCAUGAUGAGUAUUCAGGAAGAUAAUAGGUUUGAGAAGAAAAGAAAUGGGCAAUAGAACAAGCAGAAGUUUCUGUGAGGUAAAAGAACAAACAGGUGGUAGGCAGAGCAAAGACUACGAAAGGGAAUAGUGGGGUUGAAGAGGGAAAGAAGCUCGAUGAAUGAACAAAGAAGAAGAGAAGAGAGGAUAGAGACAGAAGAACAGAAAUUGCAGCAAAGAAAAGGAAUGCGGAAGCUCAGGAUCGUACUAUGGCGAUGAUACCAUGUGAGAAUAGCAAUAUUGAACAGAGUUUAACAGAGAAAAGCAGAGAUCUUAGAAGAAGAAUUGAUGUAUUCAUACUUGAUUAUUCAACACAGUACAGUAAUCGGUUUUAUACUAGCUUGACAAAGCUUUGUGUACACGUUUCUAACCUCUUAGCCUUUCUAACUACUUUAACAGAACUCUAAAACUGCCUAACAGUCUUAACAAUAUUUCAACAACUCUCUUCUUCAAUCUUCUGACAUGUGGCAGAAUUAGGACCUUUGAUAUCUUUACACUAAUAACUACGGUUUACCUAUUAAGGUUUAGGAGAAUGGUAAGAAUGUUAAAUAUAUAUCGAUAUUAGUGAAAAUAUAUGUGAUCUUAAAACAUAUAUAAUUAUAUAUAUAUUGAAGAAAAUAAAAACAUAUUAUCGAGAGAAAUUAUAUGAAAUUUAGUAUAUAUGGAGUAUACCAGGAGGUCUUAAGCACUAAUCAUUCAUUUCUGUCCAUUCCACCAUGCCAUCUUACGAUCUGAACUGCUCAUUUUGUAGGUCAUCAUUCAAGGAUUAUCUUUGGAAAACAUCAGCAUAGUCAGACAUCGCAUAUAAGAAUGAACGGUCGGAUCAUAAGAUGACAUGAUUGAGUGGUCCCAAAUAAGUGGUUAGUGUCGUAUUAACUUACUAACCGGUUAGAUUUUGAGCAUGCAUGUAUAUAUCUAUGCUCGUCAAUAAGAGAAAUAGCAAAGAAUUUCAUUUACAGAGGAUGUCACGUCAGAAAUUUUGUGGCAUACCUGGUUGUAUUGAGCACGAAAAUGGAUCUCGUUAUUGCUUGUAUAUGCAACACCACCUAUGUUUUCUACGAUCAAGGUUACGAGCUGCACAUUCUUUCUCUCUGAAGGAGAUAAGGUUUGCUUAAAGAGGUUCCAAAUGAAGUUUGUAGCGGUACUCAUUCUAUCCACAGGGAUGAUACCUCCAAGCUCAUUUUUGAAGUGCCUCCAGGGUUGUUCACAGCUGGGUUUUUGACGAUGUAGUUGACAGCAUGUGUUCCAUGCUGAGCAGCUAGGGCUGAGAGAGAGAUGAGGAAGAAAGAAAGGGAAAAGCGAGCCAUGUUGCUUGUGACUCAAAAAGUGUUUGAUCUAUGUGGCUUAUAUAGAGUUCAUCUGUCACCCUUAAUCAAUUCGCGUUGAUGUUCUUUCUGAUUGUAAAUAAGGAGAUGAAGUGGGGCUCACAUAAUUUAGAUCUUUGUGAUAACCAGUCAAAUAUGAAUAGAGGAAACGAAGAAGAAAACUAAAAAAGGUUCUGGAUUUCUUUUUAUUGAUUCUCUCUAUUGAUCCCAUACAAUAUUAGCUUACUCAAUAUUUAUAGAGUUUUGGGUUUUGCAGAAUACAUGAGCUGUCAAAGACUUAAGCUUUAAGCUAAUUAACAAACUCACUUAACUAACUGACAGCUGGCACUCCAGCUUUAGACUACUUGGCUAAACUUAAUAUAACUCUAACAUUCCCCCUCAAGCUAAGCUGGUGGGCCCAGCUUUAGAUUGGAGCAGUGUUGCAAAAAGACUGGACUGUGAAGCCCCUUGGUGAGCACAUCAGCCACCUGUUCUUGUGUAGGCACAUAUUGAACAGAAAUGUCCCCACGCUGUACCCUUUCACGAACAAAAUGAAAAUUGAUGUCUAAAUGUUUGAUCCUGGAAUGAAAAACAGGAUUUGAACUUAAGGCAAGAGCAGACAAAUUAUCACAAUGCAAGAUAGGAGGGGCAGCAAGAAACAAAUGCAUAUCCUUAAGAAUCUGUCGUAUCCACGAAACCUCAGAGGCAGAAUGAGCCAAAGCCUUAUACUCGGCUUCUGUAGAACUUCUUGAAACAGAAGUUUGCUUUUUAGAUUGCCAUGAGAUGGGAUUGUUCCCAAGAUAAACCACAUAACCAGUGGUAGAGUGCAUGGUAUUAGGAUCUCCUGCCCAAUCCGAAUCACUAUAAACCAGCAGUUGCAUAUCACUUGAAGUGUAAGUGAUACCAUAAUGAGAGGUACCCUUGAGAUAUCAGAGAAUACCUUUGACUACACCAAAAUGAAUAUCCGUAGGAGCUGUCAUAAACUGGCAUACAGAAUUGACAGCAUAGGCCAUAUCAGGCCUAGUGAAAGUGAGAUACUGAAGAGCCCCCACAAGACUUCGAUAAGUGGUAGGAUCUUGGAGAGAAACACCUUCAUCUUUAAGAAACUGCUGAUGAGGUUUGGCUGGAGUUGAACAUGGUUUACACUCAACCAUGGCUGCCUUCUUGAGGAGAUCUCGAAGAUAAUUAGCCUGGUUGACAAAAAUAUCACCAUUCGAAAAAUAUGAAAUCUCCAAUUCAAGAAAAAAGUAAGUUUGCCCAUGUCUUUCAUAUCAAAAGCUUCACCCAGAUCUGUAAUAACAGUUUGAACUAAUGUAGAGGAAGAACCAGUGACGAUAAUGUCAUCCACAUAAAGAAGAAGAAGAACUAUGUCAGUGCCUGUAUGCUUAACAAAUAGACUUGGAUAAGAAUGAGAUAGAGUGAAACCCAAAGUAGGAAGAUAACUGGUGAACUUAGCAUUCCAAGCUCGAGGAGCUUGUUUAAGACCAUACAAGGACUUGAGUAACUUGCAGACAUGAGAAGGAUGUAUAGCAUCUUCAAAGCCCUGAGGCUGCUUCAUAUAUACUUCUUCUUGAAGAUCACCGUGUAAAAAAGCAUUUUUGACGUCUAAUUGACGUAACUCCCAAUGAUUUGCUGCAGCAAGAGCUAACACUAAUCUGACUGUGGUAUGGCGAACCACAGGACUGAAAGUCUCAUUGUAAUCCAACCCUUGUUCCUGACUAGAACCCUGAGCAACCAACCGUGCUUUAUAUCUAGACACAGACCCAUCUAGAUUUUUCUUGACUUUGUAAAUCCACUUACUACCAACAAUAUUUCUGUUUGGUGGAGGAGGCACUAAAACCCAAGUGCCUUGAACUGUAAGAGCAUCAAAUUCCUCUUGCAUAGCUUGCUGCCAAUGAGGUUGAGAAGCAGCUAAUCUAAAAUGAGAAGGUUCAUUAGUAUCUGUAAUAUGACCAAUACAAGUAACACCAGAGAAGGAGUGAUCAACGGACUGUGUGUAAUGAGCAACAUUAGAGUAAUGUUUUCUGGAUAUUGUACCAUCCUUGAGUCUAGUUGUCAUAGGAUGAACACUCAACCAAACCUGACUGAGAGGUCACAUAAGUAGAGGGAGAAGCUUGCUGUAGAUGACUGAUAUCAGUAGAAGAAGAAGAGCUCAUAGGGAGUAUCACUUGUAAUUGUGCAUAUGUAAGGACAUGCAACAUAGUGGAAGGGCAAAGAGGAGUAGCAUAUGAAGUAGAAUUCUGCAGAGAUGUAUGUAAGGAUGGUGGUAUAGAUGAUUGAAGUGGGAUAGUAUCAGAAUCUGUGGUUGGGUAGGGGCUGUAGGGAAAACUACUAGAAGAAGCAAGGGAGAACUAGGCAUUGGAGAAGAACGUGAGGUAUGAGUUGAGUGCAUCAGCUUAAAAGGAAACACAGUCUCAUCAUGAACAACAAGCCUAGACAAAAAUAAUCUCCAUGAAUCUCUGUUAUAGCAUAUAACUCCCUUAUAACCAUUAGCAUAUCCAAGAAAGAUGCAUUGACAAGUUCUAGGCUGCAACUUGUUAUCAUUAUAAGGUCUAAGAUAUGGAAACACAGCAGACCCAAAAACCCAUAGGGAUUGUAACUCAAGUGGUGUCUGAAACAAUUUUAGAUAAGGUGAACAAAAUCCCAAAGUCCUAGAAGGCAUUCGAUUGAUCAAAAAACUAGCAUGCAGACAGGCAUGUGACCAAAACUUAAGAUGUAAAGCUACUGCAGUCAUCAAAGUAAUAGCAGUCUUAAUUAUAUGCCUAUUUUUCCAGAGUGUAAGGACAAGACACCUGAUGCAAUAUCCCUUUAGAUGUCAAAAACUAUUUAAACAAAUGACUCUGAUAUUCUCCUCCCCCAUUAGUUUGCAAUAUCUUAAUAGAAGCAGAAAAUUAGGUAGAAAUGAAGGCAUGAAACUUGACAAAAGUAGAGCGAACGUCUGAUUUAUUGAUAAGAGGAAACAUCCAGAUAAAUAUGGUACAGUCAUUAACAAAUAGUACAAAAUAUCUAUAACUCUCAAUGGAUACAACUGGAGAUGGACCCCAAAUAUCACUAUGAAAUUUAUGAAAAUGAUGGACUACUCUGUUAGAACUUACAGGAAAAGGAAGCCUAGACAUUUUACCACCUAAGUAAGCUGAGCAAAUAGAUGAAGAAUCGGGAGAACAUACUAUUUGAGAAGAGUGCAACAUCUUCACAAGUACUUCAUUAGUAGGGUGGCCUAAGCGUUGAUGCCACGUGAUGUGGUUUAUUUUCUGACCAAGAAAAGCUGUGGCUGAAGAAACAGAGGUGAAUGGUAGAGAUUUAGGAAAAUGAUAAAGGCAUUUGCUACUCCUUCCUUUGAGAAGAACUGCCCUUGUUGCCUUGUCCUGCACACAAUAACCAACAUCAUCAAAAGUAAUCAUGCAGUUAUUUUCAUGACAGAGCUUGUAGACAGAAAGCAAAUCAGCUGAUGGAUGUGGAACAUGCAGAACGUUAGGUAAUAAUAAGGACUGAGAAGAAGUGAUAGGAAGAUUAGCAUGACCAAUAUGUUAAACAUGCAAACCUUCCCCAUUGCCAACAAUUAUCUUGUCAUCUUGAUCAUAUGAAGUAGCAGUCUCAAGCACAGAUAAAUUUGGUGUCAUAUGAUGAGUUGCUCCUGUGUCAGCAAUCCAAUUGUCUUGAGACUCAAACCCUUGCGCGUGAGCAGUCAUAGCCUGGAGAAAAGUUGGUGGUGCUUGUCCUUGAAAAGCAAAACUAGCUCGACGGUAGCAAUCAAGAGCACCGUGGCCUUUUUUACCACAAAUCUAACACUGAAUAACAUGAGAAGAGUUUGAAUCAGCAGUAUUGCGAUAAAAACAGUUGCCAGCAGUGUGACCCUUCUUAUUACAGAUUUGACAUUCUGGGAUAACAUGAGGCUUAGAACUAGAAGAUGGACCCCAUUGUUGCUUGAAACCAGAAGAGUUAGAACCAUGCUUGUCGGAAUAAAAAUGAGAACCAUGAUAUCCAGGUGACUUGAAUCUGUCAAACUGAGGAGAAGAUCGAAACUGGGAACCAUUGUAACCAUUAUAAGGUCUUGAGCUGGAACCCUGAGUUGAGCUGGAACCUAGAGAAAAAUGUUUUGCACCACCAGAAUUAUAACCACCAGAAGUAGGCUGAGAAGAAGCACGCGUAGCCAUCAUGGCUUUCAUAAAUGAGAAAGAGCAUGUAUACGAAUUUCAGCUUGUCUCUCUGCAUUAAGCAACUGAGCUCGAAGAUCUUUGAGACCAAUGGUUGAAUCACGAGCAAGCAACACAGUGUGAAUCAUGUCAUAGUCUUGAGGAAGACCGUUAAGAGCAGUGAUAACCACAUCAUCAUCAGUAAUACGUUCACCAACCACAACUAACUGGUCACGAGCUGUAUUAAUCCGAAGCAAAUACUUUUCAAUAAAAUCAGCACCUUUGUGCAUAGUAUGAAACUCAGUUUUAAGAUGAUUAACACGUGCCCUAGACACUGUGGCAUAUCUAUCUUGCAAAUGAGUCCAAGCCUCAACAGAGGUCUUACUACCAACGACAUACUCAAUCACAUCAUCAGAUAAGGUAGCAAUUAAGAGACUCAAGAGAGCCUUAUCAGUCUAAGUCCAAUUCUUAUAAGCAUUAGUGACCUCAGUAGUGACAUCAAGCUCAGUAUCUAUGACAAACUUCGGUGGACACACUGAGGAGCCAUCAAAGUGGUCAAAAAGAUCAUAACCUUGCAAAACUGAGUGAAAUUGAAAGGACCACUUGACAAAAUUAUCAUCAUUCAAACGAAUGGUAAGCAUCCCCAGCAAACCCUUGAUUUUGGGUGAAAUCACUGUCAUGACUAGAGUCAAAGAAUUACACACAGAAAACACAAUGUGCAAAAGCAAACACAAUCGAUGCAAGAAAUCACUACAAGGCUUCGUGCCUGAACAAGAAUACUUCACACAAGGCUUCGUGCCAACAAAUCAGAGAAAUUCCAGAGAAAGAAGGCUUCGUGCCAUGAAAUCAACAAAAUUAAUCUCAGUACGGCUUCGUGCCAGAUAUCAAUCACCAAGAAUCAAGAGAAAUUGAAGAAUAAGCAACAAAUUCCAUAUCAGUUUCACCAAAUCAAAUUAUGAAAAAUCACUUCAAGGAGACACAAUCACCAUUCUUGAAGAUAAACAGUGAACCAACAUUUGAGAGAAAGAAUCAGAGACCUGAGAACGGCGAGCGAAGGGAGCAACAAACCACUUCAAAAGGCACAGCGAUCGACCGAGGCUCUUGAUAUCAUGAUAACCAGUCAGGUAUGAAUAGAGGAAACGAAGAAGAAAACUAAAUAAGGUUCUGGAUUUCUUUUUAUUGAUUCUCUCUUUUGAUCCCAUACAAUAUUAGCUGACUCAAUAUUUA
rnacentral:lncRNA from 1 species